CUCAUCAGAUAUUUCGUUAAAAUUCAUUCUGAAACACUAAAACUAAAUAAUUGAAUAUGGCUUUGCGGGUCGAUGAUGCCAGCAGCAAUGAGACUGCAAUUAUCACUUGUUUAGUUUCUGUGCUUGCCGUGGUUUACUUCGCAUGGAAUGUGAAAAAAUCAAGGAAAGCAAAUGCUAAACUUCCACCAGGACCUCGCGGCUUGCCUGUAGUCGGAUACCUCCCAUUUCUCGGAACUACUGACUUGCACAAGAAAUUCACGGAAUUAUCCGGAGUUUAUGGUCCGAUCUUCAAGCUCUGGCUCGGAAACAAAUUAUGUGUCGUGGCGAGCUCACCUUCCCUAGUUAAACAAGUGGUUCGAGAUCAAGAUACAACAUUCGCCAACCGUGACCCGCCGAUCGCUGUACUAGCGUUCACCUAUGGUGGCAAUGAUAUUGCAUGGUCCAAUUACGGUCCCGAAUGGAGAAAUUUGCGCAAAGCUUUUGUGGGCAAGAUGAUGAGUAACGCAAGCCUUGAUGCUUGUUAUGCUCUAAGAAAACAAGAGGUUAAAAAUACUAUCAGGGAUUUGUACAACAACGACAACAAAAUUGGUAAGCCCAUCGACAUUGGUGAAUUGUCAAUUUCAACCUUGGUAUGUGUUAUUCAGAACAUGCUGUGGGGUGAAGCGCUUGAAACAAGAGAGGAAGGGAUCACUAAUCUUGGGGCUGAGCUAAAAUUUAAGCUGGCAGAACUCAUGGUCCUAAUGGGAACACCGAAUAUUUCGGACGUCUUUCCAGUGCUUUCAUGGUUUGAUAUACAAGGUAUAGAGAGGAAAGCAAAGAAGAUUUCACUCUGGUUUGAAAAUAUUAUAAAUUCUACUGUUGAAAAGUAUAGAAGCAAGGACUUUAUUGUUGAAGGUAAAGAAAGAGCAGGGGAAAAUUUUGAAGGAUCAAGGAACAAGAACUUCUUGCAGUUACUAUUGGAGCUUCAAGAAAAUGAAGACGGUUCUUCCUCAAUUAGCAUGAACCAAUUUAAGGGCGUGCUCGCGGUAUGUUAAGCAACUAGCCACGAACAGUUAUACAAGCACAGUUGUAUAUUUGCAUGAGUGACGCUUCUCAACUUUUUUUAAUUUUUUAAAUUAAAGUUUUAUUGUAAUCUUUUGAACAGGAUAUAAUUACGGGUGGAACCGACACCACAACUACGAUGGUGGAAUGGACAAUGGCAGAGUUGAUGCAGCAUCCACAAGUAAUGAAGAAAGUUCAGGAAGAAUUAGCUCAAGUUGUGGGCAUGGACAGUUGUGUUGAAGAAUUUCAUUUGCCUAAACUGAAAUAUUUAGAUGCUGUGGUGAAAGAAUCGUUUCGUCUGCAUCCUGCAGUGCCUUUAUUAGUACCACGCAGAGCAAGCGAGAGUGGCAGCAUUGGUGGCUAUACCAUUCCCAAAGAUACAACUCUUAUGUUGAAUGUUUGGGCUAUCCACAGGGACCCUCAACUUUGGGAUAAUCCCUUAGAAUUUCGACCCGAGAGGUUUCUGAAUGUUGGUGUCGAGAGUAAGUUCGAUUACUCAGGUAACAAUUUUCAGUACUUACCUUUUGGUUCUGGUAGAAGAAUGUGUGCUGGGAUUCCUCUAGCUGAGAGGAUGCUGAUGUUUGUUUUGGCUUCGUUAUUGCACUCAUUUGAGUGGGAAUUGCCAGCUGGCACAAAGCUAAAUUUAUCUGAAAAAUUUGGGUUUGUCAUUAAGAAAAAAGAGCCUUUGGUUGCUAUUCCAACACCAAGACUAUCCAAUUCAGAGCUUUACCAUUAAAACAGAAUGAUUGUGAUGAUUUUGUUAGUAUCGGAAGAUUUGUAUGUUAUUUCAAGUUCAAUCGUAAUAAAAUAUUUUAAUAAAAGUCCUCCGUUGCUAAUUUUUUUUUUCAACGGCAUAAUCUGUCAUCAUGCUUGUGUUUGGAGCUACUUUGGAAUGAUUAUUUUUGAAUUACAAUUUAUAAAUAUUUAGGUUUUAAAUUUUUUAUAAGAGUCUAAAUUUAUACACGUUCAGUAAAAGAUUCCCUAAAAGCUUUACAAUUCAAAAUUCUAUUAAAAGUAUAGAUGAAACUUUUAUACCUACUAAUUUUUUGGUCUAUUCUACAAGUUUAAAGAGGAGAUAUUUCUAGAGCUAGCAAAAAGAGCUACCUGAUUGUUUUCGCGUUAUGUCAAUUUUUUUAUUGUGUUAAAUUUAAUUUGACCCACAUAUGACCCAUUUAAUAAUCGUGUCAAAAUAUUGAAACUUGAACUUGAUACGGAAAAUAAAUGGAUGACCACACACACCCAUUUAAGAAUUAGGUAACUAUGUCACUUAAUACGACAUAACCCAAUAACUCGUUUAAUACAUAUUUAACAUAAUUUACAUUGUACAUUGUACACCCUUUUGUCAUAAAUUACACUAUUUUAUAUUUCUAAAUAAUAUUAUAUAUUGAUAUUAUAAAAAAAUAUCAAUAAUCUCAAAAUUUGUACACCUCCUAACUUUUAAAAAGAAAUAAAAAAACUAAUUAAUUAAUGUUUAUUUUAUUCAUUAAUAUAUCAUAAUCCUACAUGUAUUUUAUUUGUUAUUUUUUUUAUUUAAAAAGAUAGGAGGGUGGAUGAAACUCAAAUAAAUUUUUAGCCUAUCCUGAUCUUUCAAGUUUCUUAUUUAGGAGGCCAGUUAAAAAAAAUUACUUAGAAAGCUACUCCAUCAAUUUAACAAAUUUUAUUUAUUUAAUUAAUGGAGGUGUAGAAAAUAAAAGUAUCUGCAAGCACAUUGCAAUAGUGAAAGCAAUGUACCGGUGUUGCAACAUAACUGAAUCUUGAUAACCUAUCACAUAUUUUAAGUUUUAAUAUUGGUAGUUCACGGAUCGGUUUCUACUUCCACGAACAAUUAUUGAAGGAAAUGAGUUUUUUUUUUAAUGAAUAUUUAUAGACCCCGAUUAAAUAUUCGAAUAUAUAAUAAAAGAGAAACUGACAUAGAAAUGAGAAAGAUAUUUGGAGGAGGCCAAAAAAAAAAAAAAAAAUGCAACAGAGAAUUAGAUCAGCAACACAAGUAACUAAUUAAUUCAUCUAUACAUCAUAAUCCUAUUUGUAUCUUCUUCCUUCUACUAAUUUACAUAUAAAUUUGGUUAGAUAAAACAUAUUUUAAUACUCGGUCACAAGCGGUGGAUAUAGAAAAUUAAUUUAGAGGGGGUAAUACCAUAACGAAAAAUAAUGAUUCAUAACUAAAAUCAACCCCAACAUCAAAACUUAUUUACAAGAUUACGCCCAGUCAAAGGUAAUUUUUCCUAAAAACUAAUACGAAAUUAAAUAAAUUUAACUUUUAGUGGGUUCAAGUGCCCACGCAUUCUGAACGUAGAUCCACCCCUGGCCCCGACUGAAGCAUUUUUUACAAUAUGUACUCAGUUUAUCAACAGGAACAACCUUCCACUUUAAAUUAAAAUUUUCACUUAAAAAUGAUUAAUGUUAAUGAGGUUAGCAACAAAAAUGAGUUUAAUUAGAGAAUAUUAUAAGAGAAAUUAUAUUUUUUGACUUUUAAUAAAUUAAAAUAUUAUUAGUUGGUGGUGGUUUCACGUCAGAUUAAGACGUGACACUUUACUUAUGAGGUCGAGACAAUCGACUUAAACUAUUUCAAUGCAUUUGAAAUUUGCACUAAUGGCUAUCAUUCUUUGUCCAAAUUAAUACGAUAAUUAAUAACAUACAAUUGAAAUAAUUAAUACUAGCACUUGGCAAUAAAUAAAGCUCUUGUGCUUGAAUCGUCACACAUGAUCACUUCAUUCCUUUAUUUACUUUGCUACCACAAAUUUUGAGGCAUUAUAACUAAAUAAUAAUUGAAUAGGGCUUUGUGUUACUUGUUGUGCGCGCGGAAUGCGGAAUCAAGCACACCAAAUUAUUACAGAAAAAUAAAGGACACAAUUAUUUGACGUGGUUCGGUAAUUAAACUUACAUCCACGGAGGCAAGAAAGAAUAAUUGUUUAUUUAACAAUUAAUAGAGUACAAAUAUUUGAGUAACGAAUCUCACUUCUCAGAAACCUAAAUAUACCCAAUACUCUCACACUCUGCAGGAAAGAUAAAUUAUCCAAACACACUUCUCUCACUUCUCUAAAAAACUUAAAAAUUUAAAAACUUAACAAUUUUGGAAUGCUUUAGAAUAGAAGAAGUGCCAUCUUAUAGGAAAAAUAAUGAUACUAUUGCACCAACCUCUUUACUAUUCCACCUAACAUAAGCAAAUUGUCAAUAGUGUCCAUUUAACUUUUUAUUUUUUUUCUUCAAUUGUUUAGUAGCCCUUUAAAAAUCUGCGUGGUUUCUUGAAAUUUAGAUGCCACAUGCAUGACUUUUCAACACUAAUUACUACGAUAAUUAAUAUUAGCACUUGGCAAUAAAUAAAGCUCUUGUGCUUGAAUCGUCACACACGAUCACUUCAUUCCUUUAUUUGCUUUGCUACCACAGAUUUUGAGGCAUUAAAACUAAAUAAUAAUUGAAUAUGGCUUUGUGCGUCGAUGACGCCAGCAACAAGGGGACCACAAUUAUCACUUUUUAAGUUGCUUUUAAAAUUGAUUUUAAUAGUGAUUUGAUUAUUGUAGUGUUUUUAUUUUUAUAUUAAAAUUAAGUCGAUUUGUUAUAAUAAACUUAGUUGAGUUUAAUGGUAUUACUACAUAAAUUGAAUAGUCAUCAAAUAUUUUAAUGUUUUUAUGGCAAGUGUUGACGUGGCAUUUAUUUGUUGUAUGAUGGAUUUUAAAAUUUAUAAAAUUAUUUGUUAUUAAAUUACCCCCAGAUGCUGCAUCACCUGAAACUUAAUAAAGGGCAUGUAGCAUUGCCAUUACUCAACAUUCACUCUUAUGACUUUAUGACAUUAGAAUUAAAAUCUUUCGUACAUUUAAUUUGUUUGCUUCCAGAUUAAUCUUUAAAAAUAUUUUUUUCACAUUAUCAUGAAUGGACAAAACUCCAACGAAAAUAACUACGCAAGAGCAAUCUAUGCUAGUAUUAUAUGCCACGAUAUCUAUAACUUUGUCAGGUCUCAGGAUCGAUCAUUCUAAUUUUUACGCAGAACUUUUAAUCAAUGGACAAACACCUCACCGAGCUUGUCGGCAGCAUUACUACGAUGUAAAAUUGUACCGGAAUAUCUUGAAGUAUUAGUAGAAUAAUGAAGACUAUUUGGAGCAAUAAAAACAAAUAACGCAGAUAAAAAAAAUGGCUAAAAUUAUGUAAGUGAGCCCCAAAGUUUUUGCUAUUUCCAGGAAAUCCCAAAUUUGAAUGGACUAGAGGGAGGCACGUAAGAAAUACAUUUUCUUCCUAGACAAUGACAGCUAUGACAUCAAGCCACGUAUUGAAAUUAAGGUGUAAUUAUUCAGCCAAUGAGCCUUACACACCAAGAUGUAUAAAAGUCAAGAAAAUGAAAUUUUAUCCCAAUUAAAACACUUUCUGGCUGCAAUUGGCUGUUUCCAUUUGAAGUUAAAAAACAACAACGUUUCUUUCGUUUUGUGGGCGAUUCGAUUGAGCACGCGCCACGAGCUAGCUGGCUUCCAGUGCUUGCGUGUGACAAUAGAAGGCUAGUGAUUUCACUUUCGCUUUUUUUUUUUUUUCUUUUUUUUGGGGAAUCAAGAUAAAAGCCAAGAAAAUGAAAAUUGGGCUGUUUCCAUUUGAAGUUAAAAACAGUGUUUCUUUCGGGGCGUCAAUUUGAUAUUUGAAUGGACAGGCAAGUAAGAAAUACAAUUCCUUCAUAGACAAUGACAACGAGGACAUCAAGGCACAUCAUUAUAGUUUGUAGCCCAUCUACAUUUAAACGAUUAAUAAACAAGCUUAGGUGUGCCACUGCUAUUAUUAAUUAUCCCCUGAUCAUUAUAGUUUCUGAAACAGUAAAACAAAACGAAAUUGAAUACAUCAACGAGAUCGCAAUUAUCACUUGUUUAGUUGCGGUAUUUAACUUAAUUUUAAUCUAAUAUAUUUGUUAGUUAAACUUUUAAUAAUCAAAUAAUUUUGACUUAAAAAUAAAAUUAUAGAAAUUAUUAAUUAUUAAAAAUUCACACAUAGCUAUUGUUUUCUCUAUAUAUUGCAGUGUGUACGAUAUUGAGGGUUGAAGCCCAAAGCAUGCCCUAAAAUCCAGAUAAUAAUUAGAUCCGGGCCAAAUAUUCAUCAUUGUGUCGGCUGAUCAGUCGGUGGACAUCUCUAUUGAAAAAAUCUCUGACAUUUCUCUCGACAAACUUAUUACUAAAAAAAAAUCAGUGGUUUUGCCGUCUGAAUAAUGUAGAAAAAUUUGUCUGUGCAUUAAUCUAGAUGUUUGAGGUGAUUUAUACAUCUGUGAUAAAGAUUUAUAGGUUGACUUAUACGUCUGUGGUAUAGAUUUUAUGUAUUUCAUUACAAAAUGCUGGCCGUUAGAACCCUUUCUACAUCUAUUUAUAAGAUUAACGGGUGCCAGUUAUGCCAUUACAAAUUAUCCCCUCAUCAGAUAUUUCGUUAAAAUUCAUUCUGAAACACUAAAACUAAAUAAUCGAACAUGGCUUUGCGGGUCGAUGAUGCCAGAAGCAAUUCGACUGCAAUUAUCACUUGUUUAGUUUCUGUGCUUGCCGUGGUUUACUUGGCAUGGAAUGUGAAAAAAUCAAGGAAAGCAAAUGCUAAACUGCCACCAGGACCUCCCGGCUUGCCUGUAGUCGGAUACCUCCCAUUUCUCGGAACUACUGACUUGCACAAGAAAUUCACGGAAUUAUCCGGAGUUUACGGUCCGAUCUUCAAGCUCUGGCUCGGAAAUAAAUUAUGUGUAGUGGUGAGCUCACCUUCCCUAAUUAGACAAGUGGUUCGUGAUCAAGAUACAACAUUCGCGAACCGUGACCCACCGAAGGCUGCACUAGUGGUCUCCUAUGGUGGCAAUGAUAUUGCAUGGUCCAAUUACGGUCCCGAAUGGAGAAAGUUGCGCAAAUUUUUUGUGGGCAAGAUGAUGAGUAACGCAAGCCUUGAUGCUUGUUAUGCUCUAAGAAAACAAGAGGUUAAAAAUACUAUCAGGGAUUUGUAUAACAACGACAACAAAAUUGGCAAGCCCAUUGACAUUGGUGAAUUGUCGUUUUCAACAUUGGUAUGUGCUAUACAGAACAUGCUGUGGGGUGAAGCGCUUGAAAUAAGAGAGAAAGGGACCACUAAUCUUGGGGCUGGGCUAAAAUUUAAGCUGGCAGAACUCAUGGUGCUUGCGGGAACACCGAAUAUUUCGGAUGUCUUUCCAAUGCUUUCAUGGCUUGACAUACAAGGUAUAGAGAGGAGAGCAAAGAAGAUUUCACUCUGGCUUGAAAAUGUUAUAAAUUCUACUGUUGAACAGCAUAGAAACAAGGAGUCAACUGUUGAAGGUGAAGAAAGAGCGGGGAAAAAUUUUGAAGGAUCAAGGAACAAGAACUUCUUGCAGUUACUAUUGGAGCUUCAAGAAAAUGAUGACAGUGCUUCCUCAAUUAGCAUGAACCAAUUCAAGGCCGUACUCAUGGUAUGUUAAGUAACUAGCAACGAACAGUUAUACAAGCACAGUUGUAUAUUUGCAUGAGUGAUAUUUUCAACCUUUUUUUUUAAUUAGAAUUUUAUUGUCACCUUUUGGACAGGAUAUAAUUACGGCUGGAACCGACACCACAGCUACGAUGGUGGAAUGGACAAUGGCAGAGUUGAUGCAGCAUCCACAAGUAAUGAAGAACGUUCAGGAAGAAUUAGCUCAAGUUGUGGGCAUGGACAGUUGUGUUGAAGAAUUUCACCUGUCUAGAUUAAAGUAUUUAGAUGCUGUGGUGAAGGAAACAUUUCGUCUGCAUCCUGCAGUGCCUUUAUUAGUACCACGCAGAGCAAGCGAGAGUGGCAGCAUUGGUGGCUAUACCAUUCCCAAAGAUACAACUCUUAUGUUGAAUGUUUGGGCUAUCCACAGGGACCCUCACCUUUGGGAUAAUCCCUUAGAAUUUCGACCCGAGAGGUUUCUGAAUGUUGGUGUCGAGAGUAAGUUCGAUUACUCAGGUAACAAUUUUCAGUACUUGCCAUUUGGUUCUGGUAGAAGAAUGUGUGCUGGGAUUCCUCUAGCUGAGAGGAUGCUGAUGUUUGUUUUGGCUUCGUUAUUGCACUCAUUUGAGUGGGAAUUGCCAGCUGGCACAAAGCUAAACUUAUCUGAAAAAUUUGGGAUUGUCAUUAAGAAAAAAGAGCCUUUGGUUGCUAUUCCAACACCAAGACUAUCCAAUUCAGAGCUCUACCAUUAAGACAAAAUGGUUGUGAUGAUUUUGUUAAUUUUCCGAAGAUUUGUAUGUUAUUUAGUUCAAUCGUAAUAAAAUAUUUCAAAUAAGAGUCCUCCGUUGCUUUUUUUUUUUUUUUUUUUUCAACGGCAUAAUCUGUCGUCAUGCUUGUAUUUGGAGCUACUUUGGAAUAAUUAUGUUUGAAUUACAAUUUAUAAAUAUUUACGUUUUAAAUUUUUUAUAAGAGUCUAAAUUUAUACACGUUUAAUAUCCCGCUUCAUAGAUAUUUAACACAAUUUAUAUCAUACAUUGUAUACCCAUUUGUCAUAAAUUAUACUAUUUUGUAUCUCUAAAUAAUAUUACGUAUUGAUAUUAUAAUAUAUAUAUAUAUGUUUAUCAAAAGACUAUACCAUUCAAUAUAUAUUGAAAAGAGAACAAAGAAGAUUUUCUUAUGGUUUAAAAAUAUUAUGAAUUCUGCUGUUGAACAGUAUGGAAACAAGGUCUCUGUUGUUAAAGGUGAAGAAGCAACAGGGAACAAUAUUGAAGGAAGAAAUUUCACAUGUUUAGUUGCUGAAUUUGCCGCUGUAUUCUAUCGGUAGUAGAGUUUUUAUUUUUCUCUAUUAAUUUAAGUCAAUUUUCUAUAACAAAUUCGGUUGAGUUUAAUUGUGUUAUAAUAUAAAUUGAAUGAUAAUAGAAUUUUCAACAAAUAUUUCAAUAUUUCUAUCUCGAUUGUUGAAGUGCCAUUUAUUUGUUAUGCGAUCGAUUUUAAAAUUUAUAAAAUUAUUUGUUACUAAAUUGCAUCAUAUGCUAAAAUCACCUGAAACCUAAUUCCAUAACUAACCCUUUAUUUUUAGUUCUCAAGAAAUCUUGUAAGAACAAAAAUCUUUUAUAACAAAACUUUUACAACACAUUAAUUUGUAACUCAUUCCUGUGCGCGAAUCACUCUCAAUUUCCUUCAAUUGCUGUUUAACAAUCAUCUACUUAUCAAAAUUCAAGCAUAAUCUUUUUUUUUUAAUUUCUUCAUCAUUCUUUAAAAAAAAAAUCAGGAUAUGCUGUUAAAUUUUGAAAUAAAUAAAUUAACCAAAGUUGGUUGAUGUGAGUGGUUCAAUGAUGAGCAUAAUUUAUAUACAUAUUUUACCUUUAAUUAUAUAAUUAUUAGUUAUUUUUAUUAGUUAUUUUUAAUUAAUUGAAUUAUUUUAUUGCAUAGAGAAUUAAUUGGAGAUUGGGAAACAAAAAGUGCAUAAAGAAUAACAAGUUUGGGAAAGCAUCAAUCAAAGCCGUGACGCAAUUAAGAGUUUAUAGCAUAUGAAGCCAAGAGUAAUUUGCACUCAAAAAGAAUUUCAAUUAUUCAAGUGACCUGGACCUGCAUGGCAUUGUAAUGCAUGGAAAGCAACUUAAAGGGGCCCACACUUGGCUUUUACAAUUGGAAAAAGGAAUCCUAGUGCAAGCUUAAUUGAUGAGCACGUGAGUGAGAGCAAAGAAAAUUAAAAGGCCAAGCCUUUUGGCUUAAGGAAAUAACAAGGUCGGUGGGGCCCAUUUUAAAGAGUAAUAUAAAAGCAAGCUUUUGGCUUUUGGAGAGAGGAGCCGCGAGAGGAGGAAAACGCAAGACAAAGAGAAGAAAAUCUGCAGCAGUUCGGCUUCUAUGGUUGGUUUUAUCUCUUUUGUUACUCUUAAUUCAAAUAUGUCUAGUUAAUUUUCUUAUAUUAAAGUUAAGGAUGAAACCCUAUUCAAUGAAAUAAUUAUCUUUUUAUUUAUUUAAUUCCCAUAUAUGUUCUUUAAUGAUUAUGAUUUUUAUUUCACAUGAUUAAUUGGAUGUUAUUAAAAUUUUUUCAUCAAUUCUGUCAUGCAUUAUUGAUUGUUAGGAUUAAUAUUCAAUUAAAUCUAUACUUAGAUUUAUAACGUUUAUACAUGAUUAUCUUUGAUUCUAUGUCUUUCAUUAAAUUGUUUACAUGGAGUGCUUAGGAAAACUUUGACUCUUUGUUAUUCAAUAUGUUCACAUGGGAUACUUAGAUGUCAUACUAUUAAGCGGAAAAAGAACCUAUAUUAGAUUUAAUUAUUUGGGCUUAAUUGUUAUAUCCAUGAGAUGACACAAAUUGAUUUCGAGUUGUCACUCUAAAAUUAGAGAUUAAUGAAUAUUUAGAUAAUUACUAGUUGAAUAGCGGUGGAUUCUGAAACCUUGGUAAUUUCUAUCUUAUUGAAUUCUCCUUUACUUUAAUUGUUUUCUUAGUUUAAUUAAUUUAAUUUCUUUUAAAACUCAAUUUGCUUAACUAGGUUAGAAUUAAUAUUAAUUUUAGAUUUAAAUUAGACUUUUCAAUUUAUAACAAUCCAUGUGGGAUCGACCUCGUUACCACUACUUUAUUUCUAGAUUCGUGCACUUGCGAGUAUAUUAAAAUUUUCACAACAAGUUUUUGGCGCCGUUGCCGGGGAUUGUGCCAGAAAGUCAGUUUAAUCUAGGUUGAUUUGAUUCUUCCACUAGUUAUAAUUUAUGUUGUCUUUUAUUUUAUUAUUAUUUUUAAUUAACAAAAACACACAAAAAAACUUUUAUUUUUCUUUAAAUUCAUUGUUUGGUUGUUUGAUUUCUUUUAUUUUUUAAAUUUUGUUUAUUCUCAUUAUUGUUGGUUUAUUUUAUUUUAUUUUUUUCUUUCCUUGUCUAGUUAGUUUAUGAGUGUUUGGGAAUGUGAUUCAACAAAUCGUUUGGUAAAAGAGAGUCAAAAAUUGAUAGUAGUCAAGUUAGUUCUUCUGAAGUCAUGGAUGACCCAAAUAGAUUAUUGCCAAUACUUCCACCAGUGCAAGCAGAGAAAACCCUUAGAGAAUAUUUUUCACCACUUGCAGCCAACCAACCAUCUUGUAUUGUGUUGCCACAAACUACAGCAACACACUUUGAACUUUUUGAACUUAAGCCCUCAGUCAUCCAACUUUUACCAUCUUUCCAUGGGUUAGAGAGAGAGGAUCCAUAUUUGCACAUUAAGGAAUUUCUUGACAUAUGCUCUACAUUCCGUUUUCAAAAUUUUAAUGAUGAGUUAAUCAGGCUUCGUAUGUUAUCUUUCUCAUUAAAAGACAAAGCAAAAGCUUGGUUGAAUUCGCUUUCUGCUGGGUCUAUAACUACGUGGGAUGAAUUGAAUAAUAAGUUCCUCACCAAGUUUUUCCCUAUGUCUAAAACAAAUGCCCUUAGGAGAGAGAUAAGUGAUUUCUAUUAAAGAGAGGGUGAGCAAUUUUAUGAGUGUUGGGAAAGAUUCAAUGAUUUACUCCUCAAGUGCCCCCACCAUGGUUUUGAGAAAUGGAGACUUAUACAAUGCUUUUAUAACGGUUUAACCAUGUCGAAUCGUCAUAUGGUAGAGUCUAUGAAUGGUGGGAGAUUUUUGAACCUACAUGAAGGGGCUGCAUGGGAUUUCUUUAAUUCACUUUCUGAGAAUUCUCAACAGUGAGAUUUUUCAAGCCAAAGGGAAAAAUCAUCUCAAGUUUCUAGAAAGGGGUUAUAUGAAGUUAAGGAUGAUUUUGAUGUGAAAUCCACUCUAAUUACACUUUCUAGAAAAGUAGAUGCCUUAGCUCUGAACCAAUCAAUGAAUCAUCAUCCUAGUGUAGCUAAUGAGGUUUGUGCUAUUUGUUCUAACUUGUCUCAAACAGCACAAAACUGUCCAUCAUUACCAGUCUAUCCAGAGGCUUAUUCUGAGCAGGUACAUGCCUUACAAUCAUAUGAGAAAACCUCCAAUAAUACAUAUUCACUCACAUAUAAUCCUAAUUGGAGGAAUCACCCUAAUUUUUCUUGGAAACAAAAUCAAUCUUUGUCAAACCAAGGAGGACAACAAUUUAACAUGCCCAAUCAACAAUUUGUCCCUCCUAACCAAGUAUAUCCUCCUGCCCAACAACCUAUAUCUCAAUUUGUUACACCCCAACAAAGAAAACCUUCUUUAGAGGAUACACUUCAAAGUUUCAUUCAGUCAACCUAAUAAGCUUUUCAGUCAAACACUCAAGCUAUUCUAAAGCUUGAACAUCAAUUGGGUCAAUUAGCAACUACUGUAGCGGAGAAAGAAAAAAGAAAAUUCCCCAGUCAAUCAAUUCCUAAUCCUAAAGGAGUGCAUGAAGUUGGAUCGAGUUCAAGCCAUCAGCAUGAAGAAGCAAAAUCAAUUAUGACCUUGAGAAGAGGAAAAUUGUUUGACAACAAAGUGGAGGUUCAAACAAAGAAGACAUCUGAGCCUACUUCUUCAGAUCCAAUUACAUCACAAGAAUCAUCACCAAAUGAUCUUGAAGAGAGUGACCCGCUAGCUUACAUUCCCAAGGCUCAUUUUCCUCAAAGGUUAACAAAGGUAAAGAAAGGGACUUCAACAUGUGAGAUUAUAGAAAUCUUCAAGCAGGUAAGUAUAAACAUCCAUUUACUCGAUGCUAUUAAGCAAGUUCCUUCCUAUGCCAAGUUUUUGAAAGAUUUAUGCACUAAAAAGAGAAAUUUGCAUGUCACUAAAAAGGCGUUUUUAACUGAACAAACUAGCAAUUUACUUCAAUGUAAAAUGCCACCAAAAUUUAAGGAUCCUGGUUCUCCUACUAUUUCAUGUGUUAUAGGGAACCAAUGUUUUGAUAAAGCAUUAUUGGAUUUAGGUGCUAGUGUUAAUCUCUUACCUUAUUCCAUUUACAUGCAGCUUGGACUAGGUGAGUUAAAAUCAACUCCUAUUAUUUUGCAACUUGCUGAUAGGUCAAUGAAAAUACCUCGUGGUAUUAUAGAGGAUGUGUUGAUACAGAUUGACAAAUUUUAUUAUCCUGUUGAUUUUAUUGUUAUUGAUACUCAACAUGUACAUGAUCUUAAGAAACACACUCCACUUAUUCUUGGUCGUCCUUUCUUAGCUACAGCUGAUGCUCAUAUUAGUUGCAGGACUUGAAACAUGCAAUUGUCUUUUGGUAACAUGACCAUGGAAUUAAAUAUUUUUAAUGUUCCCAAGCAGGCACAAGAAGAUGAUGAAGUCGUUGAAGUAGAUAUGAUAGAAGCAUCAAUUGAUGACUCACUUAUUUCUAACCAUUGUGACAAUCCAUUAAUACCUUGCACAACUGACUCUGAUUUCUCUAUUGAUGUUGAUAGUGAUAUUGAAGAAGUUAAUGCUUUACUUGAUUCGACUCUUAUCAUAGAUCUAAUUAAGUGGAAAGAAAAGAUAAGAUUGAGCCACUUCCUCCUGAAGAGAAAAGUGCAACAUAGGUCACAUUCUGACAUAAAAAAGGUGGUAAGAUCUAAAACGCUUAAAUUAUUAGAUUUUUAUACUACUUUAGAUAACUCUCAGGAAAGCUUAGAACAGAAGAGAUCAAAGCAAUGCGAUAUUGAGGAGUUUCAUUACCAUCAUCCUUUUAUGGAUAAAAUGCUCCAGUGCUUAAUCAAUUAUGCUUUUUGGUAUUUUCUAUAUAAUUGCUUUAAUUUUCACCAAAUUCUUAUUGAUCCUGGUUGAUUUGUUGUUUACAUUAAUUAGUUAGUUAGUCGGAUUUUUUUAUUAUUAUUUAUAUUUCUUCUAACGUUUUCUUUUGAGUUGUCAUUCUUUUAAGUUUUCCUAGCUCAGUCAGGUGUGUUCUCUCCAACUUUCUCUUUUAUUAUUUAUGUUUUUAUUUUUCAUCUUUUUGCGUGCAUAUCUUUUAUUUAUGACACAUUGAGGACAAUGUUCCGAAUAAGUUUGGGGGUGGGAAUAAUGUUGCUUUGUUUGUUAAAAAAAACUAAAAAAAAAUUUCAAAAAUUCAAAAAAAAAUUGUGUUUUUUUUGUUUUUACGUGAAAAGCCAAUGAUAAAAACUUGAUUGACAAUGAAUAUGGUUUUUAGAAAGGGUUUAAUAUUGUCUUAAUUUAUACUUGAUUCUUAUGUUAGUUCCUCUUGAUUGAGAUUCUUUAAAAUAUAAGCACUAAUAUCAAUUCUUUCAUAAUUUUGACUUGAAAUUUGAGAUUGACGCAGCCUGAGUUGAGAAUUUUAGAUAGAGUAAAUGACUGUUUGUCUUUAUUCUUAUCUCCACAAUACAAAAUAGUAUACACAGGCACCAAAGUCAGAAAUAACUACCUAUAAUCCUUAAGAGUGAAGCUAUCCUUGAGUAAUUUAGGCCUAUGUACCACAAGUAUGUAGAGGAUAAUCUACCAUGAGAAGAAUGCUACCUUAAGGGGUAGAGUGAAAGCUCCUGACUAUGGUUAAAAAAAAAAGAAGAAGAAAAAGAGAAAGAAAAAAUCAAAUCAAGUGCAUGUGCUGAAAAAAAAAUCAAAAGAAAAUGCACAUAAAAGCCUGUGAAAAAAAAAUUGGAGAUUAAGAUGAUAAGAUUAGCUUGACCUACUCUUUUCUUUUUUUGAGGCGAAGGUUGUUGAUAUUGAAGAUUUUAGGAAUGAAUUUGAUUGAAUUGAUUUCACACACACACAACAAGAAUCGAAAGAGAGAUGGGAUUGAUUAUUGAAUUAAAGUUAGAACUUUGCCAAUAUUUGAAAUUUUGUUUGAGCUAUAUAAUUUAUGCAAUCUUUGAGGGUAUUUUCAUAUUUUAUUUAAAGUUUUUUUUUCUUUUUAUUUUAUUUUAUUUAUUUUUUAUUUUUUUAAAAUGAUGUUUGUGGGUGUCAUCACUGAAGCUCUCACGAGACUAUAACUCGUCCACUAGGGGUUUAAAGGCUUGUUGCAUACGCUAAAUGCAAUCGCGAUUACCUGCGAAAAUGGUUUAGUUAGGAUUUACUUUUUGUUUUGUUAUUUUUUUUUUUUUUUUUAGUUUUAGCUUUGCUCGAGGACUAGCAAAAUCUAAGUUUGGGGGUAUUUGAUGAGCAUAAUUUAUAUACAUAUUUUACCUUUAAUUAUAUAAUUAUUAGUUAUCUUUAUUAGUUAUUUUUAAUUAAUUGAAUUAUUUUAUUGCAUAGGGAAUUAAUUGGAGAUUGGGAAACAAAAAGUGCAUAAAGAAUAACAAGUUUGGGAAAGCAUCAAUCAAAGCCAUGACACAAUUAAGAGUUUAUAGCAUAUGAAGGCAAGAGUAAUUUGCACUAAAAAAGAAUUUCAAUUAUUCAAGUGAUCUGGACGUGCAUAGUAUUGUAAUGCAUGGAAAGCAACUUAAAGGGGCCCACACUUGGCUUUUACAAUUGGAAAAAGGAAUCCUAGUGCAAGCUUAAUUGGUGAGCACGUGAGUGAGAGCAAAGAAAAUUAAAAGGCCAAGCCUUUUGGCUUAAGGAAAUAACAAGGUCGGUGGGGCCCAUUUUAAAGAGUAAUAUAAAAGCAAGCUUUUGGCUUUUGGAGAGAGAAGCCGCCAGAGGAGGAAAACGCGAGACAAAGAGAAGAAAAUAUGCCGCAGUUCGACUUCUAUGGUUGGUUUUAUCUCUUUUGUUACUCUUAAUUCAAGUAUGUCUAGCUAAUUUUCUUAUAUUGAAGUUAAGGAUGAAAUCAUAUUCAAUGAAAUAAUUAUCUUUUUAUUUAUUUAAUUCCCAUAUAUGUUCUUUAAUGAUUAUGAUUUUUAUUUCACAUGAUUAAUUGGAUGUUAUUAAAAUCUUUUCAUCAAUUCUGUCAUAUAUUAUUGAUUGUUAUGAUUAAUAUUAAAUUAAAUCUAUACUUGGAUUUAUAAAGUUUAUACAUGAUUAUCUUUGAUUCUAUGUCUUUCAUUAAAUUGUUUACAUGGAGUGCCUAGGAAAACUUUGACUCUUUGUUAUUCAAUAUGUUCACAUGGGAUACUUAGAUGUCGUACUAUUAAGCGGAAAAAGAACCUAUAUUAGAUUUAAUUAUUUGGGCUUAAUUGUUAUAUCCAUGAGAUGACAUAGAUUGAUUUCGAGUUGUCACUCUAAAAUUGGGGAUUAAUGAAUAUUUAGAUAAUUACUAGUUGAAUAGUGGUGGAUUCUGAAACCUUGGUAAUUUCUAUCUUAUUGAAUUCUCCUUUACUUUAAUUGUUUUCUUAGUUUAAUUAGUUUAAUUUCUCUUAAAACUCAAUUCGCUCAACUAGGUUAGAAUUAAUAUUAAUUUUAGAUUUAAAUUAGACUUUUCAAUUUAUAACAAUCCCUGUGGGAUCGACCUCGUUACCACUACUCUAUUUCUAGAUUCGUGCGCUUGCGAGUAUAUUAAAAUUUUCACAACAUUCGGCACUCUCACUCCUUAAGAGAGGUCAGGGGUUCAAGCCUCGCUCUCGUAUGGAGUCACCACUUUGACCAGCACUUUACCCCUUACAGACCGACCCGGUGCGAGCAUGAAUUAGUCUGGGUUGUGGUACGGGCUUAAAGGUGCCUCCCACAAUUGAGACCCACUCAGGACCACCUCGUGGUUCGGACAAAAAAAAAAUUGAAAUAAAUUAUCUCAAAAUAAUUACUAACCAGAAAAAACAAAGGGGUUUAACUAGGUUAUGCAUACCUUUGAAAAUUAUAUGUUGAUCGAUAAGCAUGAUGAUCACGAUUGAGGAGUUUAAUUAAAAUUUAUAAGAUUUUAAAAUUAAUCAGGGUUAAAUUCUAAAUUUUAGAAAGAGAGGUUUUGUGAGAAUGCUGAAAGGGUGUUAAUAGUUCCACUCUUUUUUAAAAAAACCAUAGUCAUCAUUUUUCCCGAUUUCUUCUUCCCAUCUCCAUCUUAUUUAGAAAUUUCCCAGAGCCUUUGUUUCCCACCAUUCAUUUUUCUUCUUUCUAAUUUAAGAUUAUAGUAUUAUAAAAAUAAUUACUCACAUUUUAUCAAACACCUCCAUUAUACCAAGGCCUUGUUUUAGUAGUAGGCUUUUAUUAUCUCAAUAAAAUUGAAAAAACAAAGCUCAAUAAUAUUGGAAAAAAAACCUACCCAUAUUUGUAACUUUAAUUUAUUAUUCUCCAUAGACCUACUUUUUAGCUUUGAAUUUUGUUGGAGCCAUAUAUAAACAGAAUAUGUUGAAAUCAGCACAAAAAAAAAACUAAUUAUAUAAUUUUUGUUCCCAAGGACACGACUGUGUGAUUUUUAAGAAGUUUUGUUUGGCUGGCCACUUAGGUUUAAAUCUUGGUGGAGAUUAGGGGUUAAGAAAUAAAUUUGGACUUUGCACACCCCUUUAACUUUUAAAAAGAAUGAAAAAAACUAAUUAAUUAAUCUUUAUUUUAUUUAUUAAAUGUCAUAAUCAUAUGCAUAUUUUAUUUGUUAUCUUUCUAUUUAAAAGAUAGGAGGGCAAAUAAAACUGAAAUAAAUGUUUAUCCCUAUCUCCAUCUUUCAAGUUCCAUAGUUAGGUGACCAGCUAAAGAAAAUUAAUUGAAAGUUACUCCAUCAAAUUAAAAAAAAUUAUUUAUUUAAUUUGUGGAGAUGUAGAAAAUCAAACCCCAUACCUUUUCGCAUGCAAAAGUGUCAACCUGGUCUAGCUAUGUUGCAACAGUAAACAUAUUUUAAUACAUGACUAUCAUCUUUUAUCCUAAAUACUACUAUAACUAUGGGUUCAGUUAUGCUGUAACUGUGGUAUGGUACCACAGUUGUUUUCAACCAUUAAAUUCAACUUAUAUAACUAUGCAACUGUAGAUCUAACGGCUGAAAGCAACUAUGGUACCAUACCACAGUUGCAACAUAGUUUUGCCCCUAUAACUCAUAACAUUCAAUUGAAAUAAUAAAUGUUAACACUUGGCUAUAAAUAAAGGUUUUGUACUUGAAUCUUCAUGCAUGACCUUCAUUCCUUUAUUGACUUUGCUAACACAGAUUUUGAGGCAUUAAAACUAAAUAAUAAUUGACUUUGUGGGCCGAGGAUGCCAGCAACAAGGAGACCACAAUUAUCACUAGUUAAGUUACUCUAAUUGCCGUUGUCUUAUAUUCAUAAAAUAUUAGUAAUAAGAUUAUUGUAGAAUUUUUUUAUAUUAAAAUUAAGUCAAUUUGUUAUAACAAAUUUAGUUGAGUUUAAUCGUGUUACUACAUACAUUGAAUAAUAAUAGAAUUCUCGACAAAUAUUUCAAUAUUUUUAUCCCAAGCGUUGGAGUGGCAUUUAUUUGUUAGACAAUCGAUUUUAGAACUUAUAAAAUUAUUCGUUACUGAAUUGCACCAUAUGCUGCAUGACCUGAAACUUAAUAAACGGAACGUAGCGUUGGCAACAUUCACUGUCAUGACUUUGUGACAUUAGAAUUAAAUUUUUUUGCACAUUUAAUUUGUUUACUUCCAAAUUAAUAUUUAACAAAAUAUUUUUUCACAUUAUCAAUGGACAAAACUCCAACGAAAAUAACUAUACAAUAUAUGCUAGUAUUGUAUGCCAUAUCAUCUGUAAUUUUGUCAGGAUCGAUCAUUUUAAUUUUUAAGCAAAACUUUUUAUCAAUGGACAAACACCUCACACAGCUUGUCAGAGGCAUUAUUAUGAUGGAAAACUGAUAAACAGUGAACUCGAAACUCAAUUACUACAAGUCGUUUAGAGGAUUCAGUCUUGGAUGACUUGUCACUUGUGGAAUUCUUGAAGCCAGAACCGACAUAAUCUCAGUCGUCAUUCUGUCUUAAGUAAUACACAUGGUUUGCAUGUGUGUUGAAGCUGACUCUUUGCUUGGAUCAAGAAACGACGUCUUUGAGUGCCGUUUCUUAAACACACUUUAAAUCAGCUUGUGUCAAGCACGUGAGGUAGAGCUUUUUGAAUAGAUUUGGCGGGAAUGGUAGUUAGUGUAACAACCCAGAAAUAGAGGUUAAAAGGUGAAGGCUUUGUCAUCAUCUACACAUGAUUUGGGAAACAUUGAGAGUAGAGAAAAAGAUAGAGAGAGAAAGGGGUUAACAAGUUCUUGUUCUCUGUAAAUCGAUUUAUAUUCUUGUAAAGUUUGUGAUCUCAAUUAGUGAAAGACUGUUGCUUUGUUUCCAGUGGAUGUAGGCACCACUUCUUGGUGCUGAACCACUUAUACUUGGUGUCAUAUUGUUUCUUUAAUGCUUUGAUUCUUGCGUGUGAUUGUUGCUGGAUAAUCUGUGCUGUUAAUUCUCAAACCAUUGAUACAGAAUUAAUGUCUUGGGGAGAAUUUGGUUAGUCUUAUCAAAGCCGAAUUCACAACAAAUUGGUAUCAGAGCCCUCUUUUCUGUAUCAAGGUUCAAGAAAUGACUAACAAGGUGGAUCUUGAGAAGUUCAAUGGUCAGAAUGAUUUCAAUAUGUGGAGGAUCAAGAUGGAAGCAUUGUUAAUCACACAAGGUCUGGGAGAUGCCAUUGAUCCAGUCAUUAAGAGUGAAAAUGCAGAAGCCUAUUCUUCAAGAACUCCAGAACAGAUGGCUAAGAUUGAAAAAAAGGCAAGAAGCACCAUCAUCCUCAGUCUUGGUGACUUAGUGAUAAGGGAAGUUGCCAAGAAAAAGACUGUUGCUAGGCUCUGGGCAAAACUGGAACAAUUGUAUAUGACAAAGUCCUUAGCAAACAGGCUAUACAUCAAGAAAAAGAUGUUCUCACUGAGGAUGAUUGAAGGAGCAUCACUUGAUGAACACAUAGAUGAGUUUAAUAAAGUUUGUGAUGAACUGGAAACAAUUGAUGAAGGACUGAGUGAUGAGAGCAAGGCUUUGCUGUUAAUCAGUUCUUCACCAAAAUCAUAUGAACAUUUUGUGGAUGCCUUGUUAUAUGGAAGGCAAUCACUCUCCUUGGAAGAGGUUAAAUCUACUCUUGGUACCAAGAAGUUAAAAGAAAAACAAGAUAACUCAGAGAGUGAAUCAAGUGAAGGGCUGAUGGCAAGGGGCAGAUCUGAAAAAAAGGAGUACAAAGGAAAAAAACAAGGGAGAUCAAAGUCAAAGCAGAAACAUUUGAAGUGUUUUCACUGCCACAAAGAAGGGCAUUUCAAGAGGGAUUGCCCUGAGAGAAAAACAAAGCAAAAGGAAUCAAAAGACAAAUCUGGAAAUACAGCAAUAGCCACAGAAGAAACCAGUUUUGAGAUAGCUGAAGUCCUCAUUGCCACAAAAGAAAAAAACUCAAGGUCAGUGGGUACUAGACUCUGGAUGUACUUUUCAUAUGAGUCCAAAUAGAAAUUACUUUACUACAUAUCAGUCCUGUGAUGGGGGUAUGGUGCUGAUGGGAAAUAAUUCAGUUUGUAAAGCAGUUGGGAUUGGGACUGUAAGCCUUAAGAUGUAUGAUGGCAUGGUUAGAGAACUAACUCAGUUUAGGCAUGUUCCUGAGCUUAAAAGGAACCUAAUAUCUAUUGGCAUGCUUGAUCAAACUGGAUGUGUCAAUAAGGCUGAAAAUGGGUCAUUGAAAGUUAUCAGAGGCUCAAUAGUCAUAAUGAAAAGUUCCAAGCAAAAUGGUUUGUAUGUGUUGAAUGGACAUACAACUGUUGGAGAGGCAAGUGUCACUGAGAAGAGUGAAGACAAAGCAAGACUAUGGCACUUGAGGUUGGGGCAUAUGAGUGAAAGGGGAUUGAAGGAGCUUCAAAAGAAUGGGGUGUUUGGAAGUGACAAGCUAAGUUCUUUGGGGUUCUGUGAAGACUGUAUCCUAGGGAAGGCUUCCAAUCUCAAGUUUGAAUCUGCAGUUCAUUCUACCAAAGAGAAGCUUGCAUAUAUACACUCUGAUAUGUGGGGGCCUGCACAGGUAAAUUCUCUUGGUGGCUUUAAGUAUUUCUUAUCCUUAAUAGAUGACUAUUCAAGGAUGGUUUGGGUGUAUGUACUCAAAACCAAAGAUGAAGCUUUGGAAAAGUUUUAGAGGUGGAAAAUUCUGGUAGAAACACAGACAAGUUUGAAAGUAAAAGCUCUAAGAACAGAUAAUGAAUUGGAAUUCUGCAACAAAGAGUUUGGAGACUUUUGUAAAAGACAUGAGAUUAUGAGGCACAAAACAGUCAUACACACACCUCAGCAAAAUGGUUUUGCUGAGAGAAUGAACAGAACCUUAAUGGACAAGGUGAGGUGUAUACUGCUAUACUCAAAGCUGCCUAAGUCACUCUGGGCAGAGGCCUUAAACACAGCAUGUUACUUGGUAAAUAUAAGUCCAUCUACAGCAAUAGAAUGCAAAACACCUAUCGAGCUAUGGUCUGGAAGGGUUGCAGAUUACUUUAAACUGAGAAUCUUUGGAUGUGUUGCUUAUGCAUAUGUCAAACAAGGCAAAUUGGAGCCAAGAGCUUUAAGGUGUAGAUUUCUAGGAUACCCUGAUGGAGUUAAAGGCUAUAGGCUAUGGUGCAUUGAUUUGAAGCCACCAAAAUGCAUUAUCAGCAGGGAUGUAACUUUCAAUGAGUCAGAAAUCUUGAACAAAUCCAAAACCACUUAAUCCAAAGAUCAUAUAUCAGAAACAAGACCUGGGAGUGUUCAGUUUGAGGUGGAGUCCUAUGAACAAGAUAGGACUGAAUCAGAAACUGAAGGAGAUUCAGGAAGGGUUACUGAUGGAUUUGAUGUUGUUCAGGAGUCAGAGCCAGCUGAGAAUGAAGAUAAUUCUUAUCAGUUGGUCAGGGAUAGAAAGAAGAGAGCUGUAAGACCACCUAAGAGGUAUACAAUAGCAGAUUUCAUAGCUUAUACAUUAACAGUUGCACAAGAGGUAAAUGAGGAAGAGCUAAGAACCUAUAAAGAAGCUAUAAACAGCAUGGAUAAGAUGAAAUGGAAGGAGGCUAUGGAUGAGGAAAUUGAAUCACUAAUGAAAAAUGGAACUUGGAAGCUGAUAGUUAGACUAGAAAAAAGGAAGACUGUUAGCUGCAAAUGGAUCUUCAAAGUUAAGGAAGGUAUAUCUGAUGCUGAACCUAGUAGGUUUAAAGCUAGGCUGGUAGCAAGAGGCUUCACACAAAGAGAGGGGAUUGAUUUCCAUGAAAUCUUCUCUCUAGUUGUGAAACAUGCCUCCAUCAGAGUCAUCUUAGCUUUAGUUGCCAUUCAAGACAUGUACCUGGAGCAUAUGGAUGUUAAAACAGCCUUCCUGCAUGGUGAAUUACAAGAAGAAAUUGUAAUGGAACAGCCUGGGGGGUAUGUGGUGUCUAGUAAGGAAAAUCAUGUGUGCUUACUAAAGAAAUAUUUAUAUGGAUUAAAGCAGUCUCCUAGGCAAUGGUACUUGAAGUUUGAUAGUUUUAUGACAAAACAUGCCUACAAGAAAUGCAAUUAUGAUUGUUGCGUGUACUUUAGGGACAUUGGUGAUGGAAAGAUGAUUUAUCUUAUGCUGUAUAUGGAUGACAUGCUUAUAGCAUGUCACAGCAUAGAUGAAAUCAGUCAUUUAAAGAAUCUCUUGAGCAGUGAAUUCGAUAUGAAAGAUCUUGGAGCUGUAAGGAAGAUCUUAGGUAUGGAAAUUAUCAGAGACAGGAGAAGGAAGCUUAUGUUUUUAACCCAACAGAGCUAUGUUAAGAAGGUGUUGCUUAGAUUUGGGAUGCAUGAAUCCAAGUCUGUUCAAACACCUUUGGCAAAUCACUUCAAGCUGUCUGCUGCACAUUGUCCACAAACUGAUGCAGAGCAAGGAAAAAUGGCAAGGAUACCUUACUCCAGUGCAGUUGGGAGCCUCAUGUAUGCCAUGGUUCUCACUAGACAUGAUAUCUCACAUGCUGUGAGUAUAGUGAGUAGAUUCAUGGCAAAUCCAGGUUAUGAGCAUUGGAGGGCAGUCCAGUGGAUAAUGAGGUACCUGAAAGGCACUAUGGAGUUUGGUCUGCUAUAUGGAGGGUUAAAACAGGAAGGGCACAAGCUGGUGGGGUAUGUUGACUCAGACUUCGCUGGAGAUCUUGAUAAAAGGAGGUCUCAGACAUGUUUUAUAUUCACUUUGGGAGGCUGCACUGUGAACUGGAAAGCUACUCUGCAAAGUGUGGUAGCUUUGUCCACAACUGAAGCCGAAUAUACAGCAGCUGCAGAAGCUUUUAAGGAAGUCAUCUGGUUAAAAGGAAUGGUCUCAGAGUUAGGAGCAAAACAAGAAACAGUUGAAGUAUACUGUGAUAGCCAGAGUGCAAUACAUUUGAGUAAAAACCAGACCCAUCAUGAAGGAACAAAACAUAUUGAUGUAAAGCUUCAUUUUGUAAGACUUGAAGUUUCAAAGGGAACUGUGAAGAUGCUCGAGGUUCACACUGAUCAAAAUCCAACCGAUAUGUUGACUAAAGCUGUGCCUUCUGCCAAGCUCAACUUCUGUUUGAGCUUAGCAGGAAUUUGCAGUUUCUGAUCAGCUGCAAAAGAAAGGGAAUAAAGUAUACAGGAGUAGCUAGAGUUCAGAGUUCACACUGAUUAAAAGGUGCAGGCUUUGUCAUCGUCUACACAUGAUUUGGGAAACACAGAGAGUAGAGAAAAAGAUAGAGAGAGAAAGGGGUUAACAAGUUCUUGUUCUCUGUAAAUCGAUUUCUAUUCUUGUAAAGUUUGUGAUCUCAAUUAGUGAAAGAUUGUUGCUUUGUUUCCAGUGGAUGUAGGCACCACUUCUUGGUGCUGAACCACUUAUGCUUGGUGUCAUAUUGUUUCUUUAAUGCUUUGAUUCUUGCGUGUGAUUGUUGCUGGAUAAUCUGUGCUGUUAAUUCUCAAACCAUUGAUACAGAAUUAAUGUCUUGGGGAGAAUUUGGUUAGUCUUAUCAAAGCCGAAUUCACAACAAAAACUGUAAUGGUAUAUCUUGAAUUAUUGGUAGAAUAGUUCUUUGGAGCAAUAAAAACAGAUAAGACAGAUGAGAAAAUUGUCAAUACCCCACCGCAAAAGCAAAAGAAAACAAGGAAAGGAGACAAAAGAGGAAGAAGAAAAAGAAAAAAGAACGAAGAAAAAAAUGGUGCCGUGCGGUAUAGGCAAGAAGAAAAAAUAAUAAAAAAUAAUAAAAUAAUAGUGCACAACAAUCAUUUGAUUGCUAUAAAUAAAAGGCGUUUCCCUCAUUUUAUUCAUCGAAUUCUUCAGUUCCUUUCAAGCGAUUUAAGAGUCUAGUGAUUUGAGAGUUUGGGUGUAGUAUGAUUUUGGGUAGUGAGCUAAAAUACUACAAUACUUGUAACUCAUUUUUAUUAGUAAAAUAUUUUCCUUCUGACUUCGCCCGUGGACGUAUGCUAAAAGCCGAAUCACGUAAUUUCUGGUGUCCCUAUGUGAUUAUGUGUCUCAUUAUUUCUUAAUUUCACUUUAGUUGCGUGUCUGCGACACCCCUCAAUUUAUUAACAAAAAAUGGCCAAAAUUAUAUAAGUGACCCAAAUUUUUUUGUUAUUUCCAAGAAAUCCCCAAUCUGAAUGGGCUAGACCAGAGGGAGGCAAGUUAGAAAUACAUUUCCUUCAUAGACAAUAACAGUGAUGAGUCGAUGACAUCAAGCCACGUCGGUAUCAAUAUUGAAUUAAAGGUGCAAUUAUUCAGCCAAUGAACCUUACACAUCAAGAUAAAAGUCAAGAAAAUGAAAAUUUAUCCCAAUUAAAACACUUUCUGGCUGCAUUUAGUUGUUUCCAUUAGAAGUUAAAAACAACGUUUCUUUCGUUUUGUGGGCAACUCAACUGAGUUAGCUGGCUUCUAGUGCUAGUAUGUGAAAAUAGAAGGCUAAUGAUUUAUUUAUUAUCUUUUGACAAAAUUAUUAAAGAUAUAAUAGAUUUUCUAUGAUACAAGUGAAAAAUCACAUCAACAUAGCUUUCAAUCUACAGCAGCUAGCGUUUACCAAACACUUUGUUGUAGCUUUUAAGCUAUAGCUGCCCAACCUCAAUCUCAAACGCACCCUUAAUAGGUUGAUUGAAUUUGUGAGAUAUGGAUUCCACAUAUCUCAUGACCUAGUAAUUAUACAAGUGGUUCGUGAUCAAGACACAACAUUUGCUUCCGGCCUAGUGACCCAGCAAUCGCUGCACUGGUCGCCACCUAUGGUGCCGACGAUAUUGCAUGGUCCAAUUGUGGCCUUGAAUGGAAAAAGUUGAGCAAAUUAUUUGUGGACACGAUGAUAAGUAACGCAAGCCUUGAUGCUAGUUAUGGUCAAAGAAAACAAGAGGUUAAGAAUACUAUCAGAGAUAUUCAUAACAACAAAAAGGAAAAAAAAAAGGCAUUUGCAAGCCCAUUGAUAUUGGUGAAUUGUCGAUUUCAACUUUGGCAUGUGUAAUCCAGAACCUGCGCGCUGUGGUAUGGCGCUGGCACGCUUGCAUUAACGAGGGGACAAGUCUUGGGGCUGAGCUAACAUUUAAGCUCGCAGAACUCAUGGUGCUAAUGGGAACACCAAAUAUUUUUUUGACAUAUUUUGGUGCUUUCAUGGUUUAAUUCAAGGUAUAGAAAGGAGUGUUGAGAAUGUCAAAUAAAACGGCAUUGAAUGGAAGUUGUCAAAGACACGAUCCGCACCGAACGGCAACGACACGGUUGCUAAAAAUCCUUCCAUAAUAUGCAUAUCUAAUUUUUUAAAAAGUGUAACCUCUGCAUUUAUAAAUAUACUCAAUGUAUAAUGUUUUACUUAAGAAAUGAAAAACUUGUUUGUUCAAGGAGAAUAAAGAAAAUUUUUCUAUGAUUUUUUUAUGGUUUGAACAAAGAAGGUUUUAAUGAGUAUUAUAGACCUCGAUUGAAUGUUCGAAUGUAUAAUAAAAGAGAAACUGUCACAUAAAUGACAAAGAUACUUGGAAAAAAAAAAAGGGCAGCAAUAGAGAAUUAGAUUCGACUGCACAAAUAACUAGUUAAUUCAUCAAUACAUCAUUUUCUUGCUAGAAAAUGACAAUUAUGACAGCAAGCCACGAUAGUGUCAAUAUUGAAAUUGAUUUGCAAUUAUUCAGCCAAUGUGCCUUACACGUCAAGAUAAAAGUCAAGAAAAUGAAAGUUAAUAUCAAUUAAAACACUUCCUGGGCCGCAUUUAGCUCCAGUUUUUGUGGUAGGAAAACAAAGUUUUGUUUUAAAUUCACAUGGUGUGCACUUCCUAUAUAAAUCUAGAGUUGUGUCCCACGUUGAACAAUAAAGGAAAGUCACCUAAAUAUACAUGUAGGAUAAGUUACUUUAUUUAGUAAGUUUGUAUUUUCUUCUUUCUUCUAGUUUACAUAUAAAUUUGAUUAGAUAACUUAACACAUAUUUUAAUACUUGAUCAGAAGCCCUACGUACAGGUGGAUCUAGAAACUUGAUUUCUAAGAGUAAUACUAUAAUAAAAAAAUAAUGAUUCAUAGAACCAAUAUCAAAAUUUGUUUACAAGAUUACCCCCACUCAAAGGUAAUUUUCAUAGAAAUUAAUAGGAAAUUUAAUUGUUAGUGGGGUCAAAUUGCCCCCACACUCUGAAUGUAGAUCCACGCCCGACCCUGAGUCAAGUAUAUUUUGCCACAUAUACUCUGAAUGUCGGCAGGAAAAAUCUUCCACUUUAGUUUAAAAUUUUCACUUAAAAUUUAUUUACGUUAAUAAAGUUGGUAAAGGAAAUGAGUUUAAUUAAAGAAUAUUAUAGGAGAAAUUCUAUUGUUUGGCUUUUAAUAAAUUAAUUAAUAGGUUUAAAAAGAUUAAUAUACAUCAAAAUAUUAUUAGUUGGUGGUGGUUCCACAUCGGACUAAGACGUGGCACCUUACUUGUGAGAUUAAGACAAUCAGGCUUAGACUAUUUAAAUAUGUUUGAAGCUUAGAUGGCACCGCUUCAAUUUGCAUUAAUGAAUGUCAUUCUUUACCCUAAUUACUACGUAAUUGAUAACAUGCAAUUGAAAUAACUAAUAUUAGCACUUGGCUAUAAAUGAACUAAAGGCCGUGCAAUUGAAUCUUUACUUGAUCACUUCAUUCCUUUAUUUUGCUAACACAGAUUUUGAGAUAUUAAAACGAAAUAAUAAUUGAAUCUGGCUUUGUGGGUCGAUGAUGCCAGCAACAACGAGACCACAAUUAUCACUUGUUUAUUUGCUGUAUUUGACGUUGUUUCAUAUUGGUAGUAAUAACUAAUAAGGUCGUUGUAGAGUUUUUAAUCUUUUUUUUUAUAUUAAUCACGAGGUAUCCUGGGGAGGGCCCCAACUGUGGGAGGCACCUUUAAGCUCGUACCACAACCCAGACUAGAAGUCCCCGCUCGAACCGGGAGGCACAGUUUUUAAUCUUUUUUAUAUUAAAGUUAAGUCAAUUUGUUAUAAAUAAAUAAAAAAUUGGUUGAGUUUAAUUAUAUUGCUAUGUACAUUAAAUAAUUAUAAUAUUCUCGAGGGAAAAAGACACCUAGAACCUCAAGGUUUGGGGAAAUGGUCACAAAAACUCCUAAGUUUUAAAAAAGGAACACUAAAAUCUUUUUUUACCCAUAAUACCCUUUGACUAUAGUAAUUAGAAAAUUGACUUUAAAGGUUUUUAAAUAAUACAAAUUUAAUAUAAAUCAUAUAAUCUAUCUAGUACACUAAUAAUAUUAAAUUAUUUUUUAUAUUUAAAAUAAUGUUAAAAAAUUUAAAUUAUUAUAUUUAUUUUAAUAAUAUAUUUAUAAAAUUAUAAAGAUUUUAAAUAAAUCUUUGGAUUGAAUAUAUUUUACAAUUAAAAGUCUUCCUAUUAAUAAUAUUAAAAUUAAAUUUUAAGUAAUAUAUAUUCAAAAUAUUUUUAAUUUAAUUUUAUUUAUUUUAAUAUUAUGUUUCUAUCUAUUAUUAAAAAUUACUUUAAUAUAAUAAAAUAGGUCUAAUAGAUUGAAAAAUAUGAAAAUAUUUUUAAAAUUUUAAAUUAUUUUGAAAUGUAUAUAUUAUUACAUUUAUUUCAAUGUCAUAUUUCCAUUUAUUAUAAAAUUUUGGGGUUAUUUUUUUGGGAAUUUAUAGAGUCAAAGAGCAUUAUGGUUAAAAAAGAGUCUUGGUGUCCCUUAUUGAAAACUUUAGAGUUUUUGUGACCAUUUUCCUAAAUCUUGGGGGUGUUGAAGUGGCACUUAUUGUAAGAUUGAUUUUAAAAUAUGUAAAAUUAAUUUUAUUACAUUACCAUAUGCUACAUCACCUGAAACUUAAUAAAUGGAACGUAGCAUUACUCCACGUUCACCGUUAUGACCUUAUGACAUUAGAAUUAAAAUCUUUCGUACGUUUAAAUUGUUUACUUCCAAAUUAAUCUUUCGUAAAUAUUUUGUACAGAUCUUAUCGGAGUUAGCGUGUUCAUUACAGUGUUUCUUUUCUUUUAUCCUUUCUUUUGAAACGUAUUUCCUGUGGACAAGGAAAGCAAAUAAUACCCUGCCACCAGGACCUCGCGGCUUGCCUGUAAUCGGAUACCUUCCAUUUCUCGGAAUUACUGACUUACACAAGACAUUCACGGAAUUAGCUGGUCUAUAUGGCCCGAUCUUCAAACUCUGGCUUGGCAACAAAUUGUGUGUAGUGGUUAGCUCGCCUUCAACUAGUUCUAUAAGAAUAUCCCUUUUAAGGGAUUCUCUCUCUGCAAAAUUUUUUUAUCUUCUGGUGCAUAAUAAAAACUUAUGCCACUUCAUUAACCACAGAUAUCUUUUGAGGAAACGAUGUUUCGUUUUCUUUUGUUUUUUCCUUCCUAAUCCUCGCAUAUCGUGUGAAGGCUAAUAUAUCCAAGAAUCUAAAUCUCUGUAAAUCUUUUUCUAUCCAAAUCUACAUAAUAAUUUAAUCCAUGCACAAUAUCUAUAAUUAUAUCGGCUGUCGGCUGAUUUCGUGGAGGGGGCGGCAGUUCAAAUUUUUUACGUGCAUGUUGGAUGGACGUCUCUAUUAAAGGAGAGCCACCACUUGCAUGGUAAUUUUUUUAAAUAAAUAUAUACAUUUCAAAAUAUUAUUUCAUUGUUGUAUAGUUAACAUGUCACCUUAGAUGUAUUUUAGAACUUCUCCUAUUAAAGAUAAUCUCAUGCAGUGAUACUUCUCGUGAUCUAAUCAUUAGUAGAAUCUAUAAUUUCGCUACUGUAAUAAAAUCUGUCCCUACCCUAUAUGAAUGUAGAUAUUUGACGCGAUUUGUAAUUGCUUCCGACAGGAAAACAGCAAUAGUUUAAUUGAAAUUUGUGGUAUGGAUUCCACGAAUCUUAUGACAGAAUACUGACCACUCCAACCCUAUCCACAUUUACACGAUUAAAACACAAGCUUAGAUGUGACAAUGCAUUUGUCACUUUUGUUCAAAUUCAUCCUGAAACACUAUACACUAAAUAAUCGAAUAUGGCUUCGUGGGUCGAUGAUGCUAGCAGCAACGAGACUGCAAUUAUCACUUGUUUUGUUGCUGUACUUGUCGUGGUCUAUUUCGCAUGGAAUGUAAACAAAUCAAGUAAAGCAAAUGCUAAAUUGCCACCAGGAUCUCGGGGCUUGCCAGUAGUCGGAUACCUCCCAUUUCUUGGAACUACUGACUUACACAAGACAUUCACGGAGUUAGCUGGAGUUUAUGGUCCGAUCUUCAAGAUUUGGCUUGGGAAUAAAUUGUGUGUAGUGGUGAGCUCGCCUACCCUAGUUAAACAAGUGGUCCGUGAUCAAGAUAUAACAUUCUCAAACCGCGACCCACCGAUCGCUGGAACUGUGACCACCUACGGUGGCAAUGAUAUUGCACUUUCCAAUUAUGGUCCCGAAUGGAAAAAGUUGCGAAAAUUAUUUGUGAGCAAGAUGAUGAGUAAUGCAACCCUUGAUGCUUGUUAUGCUCUAAGAAAACAAGAGGUUAAAAAUACUAUCAGGGAUUUGUACAACAACAAUAAGGAUAAUAUUGGCAGUGGCAAUGGCAAGCCCAUUGACGUUGGUGAAUUGUCGAUUUCAACUUUGGUACGUGUUAUGCAGAACAUGCUGUGGGGUCAAGCAUUGGAAACAAGAGAGAAAGAGAUUACUAAUCUCGGGGCUAAUCUUGCAGAACUCAUGGUGCUACUGGGAACACCAAAUAUUUCGGAUAUUUUUCCAGUGCUUUCAUUGCUUGACAUGCAAGGUAUAGAGAGAAGAGCUAAGAAGAUUUCUCUAUGGUUUGAAAACAUUAUCAAUUCUGGUGUUGAACAGUAUAGAAACAAGUUUUCUGUUGUUAAAGGUGAAGAAGCUGCAGCAGGAAAAAAUAUUGAACGAUCAAGAAAUAAGGACUUCUUGCAGUUACUGUUGGAGCUUCAGGAAAAUGAAGAUAGUGCUUCAUCUAUUAGCAUGAACCAACUAAAGGCCGUGCUCGUGGUAUGUUAAGCAACUAGACACAAAAAGUUGUAAAAGCACAGUGAUAUAUUUGCGCGAGGCCGCGAGUGAUGUUUUGCCUCGAGAACUCUCAAUUUUAUCUUACGGUAAAAAAUGUUUUUCAACUUUUUUUAAUUAGAAUUUUAUUGCAAUUUAUUUAACAGGACAUAAUUGUGGCCGGAACCGACACCACAACUACGAUGGUGGAAUGGACAAUGGCAGAGUUGAUGCAACAUCCACAAGUAAUGAAGAAAGUUCAAGAAGAAUUAGCUCAAGUUGUGGGCAUGGACAGUUGUGUUGAAGAAUAUCACUUGCCUAAAUUAAAUUAUUUAGAUGCUGUGGUGAAAGAAACAUUUCGUUUGCAUCCUGCGUUGCCCUUAUUGGUACCUCGCACGGCAAGCGAGAACAGCAAUAUUGGUGGCUAUACCAUUCCCAACGACACUAAUUUUAUGUUGAAUGUUUGGGCUAUUCACAGGGAUCCUCAACUUUGGGAUAAUCCCUUAGAUUUUCGACCUGAGAGGUUCUUGAAUGAUGAUAUCAUAAGCAAAUUCAAUUACUCGGGUAACAAUUUUCAGUACUUGCCAUUUGGUUCUGGUAGAAGGAUGUGCGCUGGCAUUCCUCUAGCUGAGAGGAUGUUGAUGCUUGUUCUGGCUUCGUUGUUGCACUUGUUUGAGUGGAAAUUGCCCCCGGGCACAAAGCUAGACUUAGCUGAAAAGUAUGGGAUUGUCAUGCGGAAAAAAGAGCCUCUGAUUGCUAUUCCAACACCAAGGCUACCAAAUUCAGAUCUCUACCAGUAAGAUCAAAAUGGUUGUGAUGAUAUUAUUUCCCAUUGUAUUGGAAUAUUUUUGUGUGAUUUGAAGUUCAAUCAUAAUAAAAUAUUUUAAUAAAAUGUCCUCGGUUGCUAAUUUUUCAAUAGUAUACUCUAUCAUCGUUUCUAACUGUCUUUUAGAGCCAUUUGGUCUAAUUUAUUUUUGAAUUAAAAUCCAUAAAUAUUUAAAUUUUUGAAUCAUAUUAAGAAUUAUCUGGAGUGUAUGGUCUGAUCUUCAAGUUCUGGCUUGUAAACAAAUUAGAGUUCUGAUAUUUGCCCCGGGUCAAACCCCGAAAUUAAAUAAAACGGCGUCGUUUUGUUUUUUUUUUUUUUUUUUUCUUUUUUACUUCUUCCAAACGUUGCCAUUUCACUUGUCAUUUGCAAGUGACUCCAUUGAUCCUUAGUUGAAACAGAGUUACACCGUAAAUCUCUUCCUCUUCGUUUCUUCGUUUCACCAGGGAACGAGACAGAUAAAAUCCAGCCAUUCUUCGACAUAACAAGAUAUCGAUUAGAAUCCAACGACAUAACUAUAAACCAUGACAUUGCGCUUGAUUUUGCGAAAUACCGAUUAAGAACCAGUAACUUUGAAUCCAAUGACCGUUAAGAGUUUGAAAUUGGUUUCAAAUGACUAAUGAGUUAUCAGAUUUCUUUGCGUCUACAUUUUCCUUGAAGGUUUCUCAGCAGCCAAACAAAUACAAAGCAAAUUGCAGAAGAAACACAUUUUGUUCCAAUGAAAAAUGUACGGAAACAUUUUAAAUAUGGAAAAUUACCUCAAAAUGAAGGCUCGCAAGAGAUUCGAGCAACAAAUUAGAUCAAAGGAACCGGCGCUGAGCAAGAAAGUGAGCUCAAAGAUUCCGAAACACAAACGUAAAUUCACAAAAAUGCAAAUCUAUGAUGAACGCCAAGAUCAAAAUUUUCGAAGAAAGGGAGCUGAAAAAAUAAAUGAAACGUCAAACUAGAUGACAAUGGAUUUGCUUCUUCAAAGGAGACAAUGAAAUUGUUACUAGAGACAGCUAGAGAAAUAGAGAGAGAGAGAGAGAGAGCUUGAAUUGGCUGUACCCCCACCAGAAAGUGGGUAGUGCCUUUUCCACUUGGACUUGAUAUGCGAAUCUGAAAAAAUCUGAACGAAGGACUGACUCAUCCCAGCUCGAAAGCAAACCAAGCUAGGACUGACUGAAAACGUUGCCGUUUGGAGAAGUUAAAAAAAAAAACUAAACAAAACGACGCCGUUUUGUUUAGUUUCGGGGUUUGACCCGGAAUUUGACCCGGGGCAAACAUCAUUUUCCAACAAAUUAUGCAUGGUCGUGUACACGCUUUCCCUAAUUAAGCAUGAGGUUCGUGAUCAAGGCACAACAUUCACUCCCUGCGACCCAACAAUCGCUACAUUGUUUGCCACCUAUAGUGCCAACGAUUUUGCACGGUCCAAUUAUGGUCCCCAAUCGAAAACGUUGCGCAAAUGUUUUCUGGGCAAGAUGAUAAGUAACGCAAGCCUUGAUGCUUGUUAUGGUCUAAGAAAACAAGAGGUUAAUAUAUAUAUAUAUAUAUAUAUAUAUAUAUAUAUAUAUAUAUAUAAAUUGGCAUUGUCAACUUUUGUAUGUUUUAUUCAGAACCCGCUGUGGGUUGACGCUAGCAUGCUUGCGUUAGGAGACGAGGGGACCAAUCUUGGGGCUGAGCUAAAAUAUAAGCUUGUAGAGAUCAUCUUGCUAAUGGUAAUGUUUUCCGAUGCUGGUUUAAUUCAUGGUAUAAAAAGGAGAACAAAAAAGAUUUUUCUAUGCUUUGAAAAUAUUAUAAUUUUUAUUUUAUAAUUUUUAAUAAAAUCUCUCAUUGAUAGCCAAACAAUUAAAAUUUUUGUAAAGCUUUUGUGGACUUUUGAUCGCGUAUGGUGCCAAUGUAUUGCGUGGUCCUAUUAUGGUUCCAAAUGGAGAAAGUUGCACAAGUUUUUUGAGUACCAGAAGAUCAGUAAUGUAAGCCUUGAUGGUUGUUAUGGUCUAAGAAAACAAGAGGCUAAAAAUUCUAUCUGGGAUUUUUAUAACAACAACAAAAUUGGCAAGCCCAUUGACAUUGGUGAAUUGUCAGUUUCAACCUUGGUAAGUGCGAUUCAGAACAUGCUGUGGGGUGAAACGCUUGAAAUAACAAAGAAAUGGAUUUACUAAUAUUGGGGCUGGGCUAAGAUUUAAGCUUGCAGAACUCACGGUGCUAGAGGGAACACCGAAUAUUUUGGAUAUCUUUCCAGUGCUUUCAUGGUUUAAUAUACAAGGUUUUCAGAGAAUAGCAAAGAAGAUUUCUCUAUGGUUUUAAAAUAUUAUCAAUUCUACUGCUGAACGCUAUAGAAACAACGUCUCUAUUGUCAAAAGUGAAGAAGCAGCAGCAGCAGGGAACAAUAUUGAAGGAAGGAAUAAGGACUUGGUGCAGUUACGCUUGGAGCUUCAAGGUAAAGAAGACAAUGCUUCAUCAAUUAGCAGGACGCAAUUUAAGAGCUUGCUCGUGGUAUGUUGCGCAACUAGCCACAGACAGUUACAGAAACUGAGUUUGGCAGAUUACGACCGUUUCUGGUGAUUACAUAAUUAUUUGUGGCUGUUUUUUUUUUUUAAUUGUAAUUUUCUUAACAGGAUAUAAUUUAGGGUGGAACCAACACCACAACUAUAAUGGUGGAAUGGACAAUGGCAUAAUUGAUACAGCAUCCACAAGUAAUAGAGAAUGUACAGGUAGAACUAAAUCGGGCCGUGGCCAUCGACAGCCAUGUUGAAGAAUUUCACCUAGCUAAGUUAAAAUAUUUAGAUGCUGUGGUGAAAGAAACAUUCUGCACUGUAAUAUAAUACAUGAAUCAUAUGUCCUCUAUUGUUUUUUUAUUUUUCUCUUUUUUUCAAUAGCUUAAUCUAUCAUUAAAAUCUUCUGAAAUUCUAAAUUAAUAUACAUUCAACCUAGAGUUCAAGCCAAAGUUUUAUUGAGCAUUAAAAAAAAAAAAAAUUCUACGACUCAAAAUUUUGUGGAGUAUAAAUUAAAAAUUAUGCGCCUACUAAGAGACAAAAAAUAAAUGAUACACAUUAACCAAUCAAAGGCGAACAAGAGAUUAUUAACAAUAACCUAAUAAUAAAAUUAUAAUGAAUAAAAAAGAAAUGGUACCUAGAAACACAUCACAGCCAUUUAAGCAAUCACUUACCCACAAAAUCCAAACAUAUAAACUAUGUGGGGGGGGGGGGGGGGGGGGGGGGUGUCAUGAUACCUUUGGGUUUCAUGAUAAUCAAAAUUGCAAUACCAUUAAAGACUCAAAAAUAAAAAAAAUCAUAGCCAAUAAAAGAGAAAAAAUAACCCACAAAAAAUCAUCAAGAAAAUAAAUUUGAGACUAAGAGAAGAUAUUAAUUAAACCCUGGGUUGCCUUGGAACCACGGCUUUGGCUUCCAUUUUUCAAUUCUUGGCGACAAGUCAUUUCUUGUUUGUUUACAAAGAUGACGGCUGAUUAAUGAAGCUCUAUUAACAAUGAAUAAAUAAAAAAACUGGCGCCUUGAAAAGACUAACGGUCAUAUUUUUCAACUCCGAAUUAGUGCCGUUUGAUGAGUCCUUGCCAAAACAAUCACUAGGCAAAUAACAAUCAUUUUUCAACCAGCAAAACUCAUUCAUUGUAUUUCACCUUAGUCAAGAUUUAAAAAUUGUUUCAAAAUAAACCUAGUGGUUAGAACCCAAGCGUCACAAUUGUGAGGUCAUGGGUUUGAGCCCCCACAACGUAUUGUGGGGGUUAAUUUUCUUCUUCAAUUUGAGUGAAAACAGUUCUCUCCCUUUCGAAAUGUGGGUGGAGUGGACGUCCCUCAAAUAUUAGAGAGGGUUCAAAUUUGGAUUGUACUAUAUAAGAUUUAUAAAUUAGUCCCAGUAAUUAUCUGAUUGUAAAUAUCAAUAUACUAAUCUAAUUAAAUAUGAGUUGUAAUAUGAGCGUUAGUCUCAUGUAAUUAAAAAAAAAAUGUUUCAAAAUAGGAUUCUUAAAAGGUUGGGGAAAUGGCCAUCAAUAUCCCCAACUUUCCAAAAAGAGACACCAAGACCCAUUUUGACCAUAAUACCCUUUACUUCUAUUAUCCCCAAAAAAUUGACUCUAAUGUUUUAUAAUAAAUAAAAAUAUAACAUUAAAAUAAAUGUAAUAGUAUAUACAUUUUAAAAUAGUUUCAAUAUCUAAAAACCAUUUUAAUAUUUUAAAUCCUAUUAUAUAUAUAUUAAAGUAAAUUUUAUAAUAAAUAGAAUCAUAAUAUUGAAAUAAAUGCAUUAAAAUUUAAAUUAUUUUUAAUAUUAUGUAAAAUAAUAAUUUUAUCAUUAUAAGUAUAUGAGAAUUUUUUUAAUUGUAGAAUGUAUUUAAUGCAAAUAUUUAUUUAAAAUCUCUACAAUAAAUAAAAAUAUACUAUUAAAACAAAUCUCUACAAUAUAUACAUACAUACAUAUACAUUGGCCUGGUAUUUUAUUUUUCAUUUUUUAAACUUAUUAAAUCCUCUAACUAUCAUUUGAUUAUUUUUUUCAAUGAUGAAGAGGCCAUUGCCGGAUAAAUUAUUAAAAUCAACUAGUUCUACAAGAAUGUCCCUUUUUAAAGGAAGAUGAUUCUCUCUCUCGAAAUUUUUUAUCUUGUGCUACAAACUAAAAACUUAUGCCAUUUCAUUAACCACAGAGAUCUUUGAGGAAAUGAUGCUUCGCCCCCCCCCCCCCCCCCCCCCCCCCCCCCCCCCCCCCGCGGCGCCAAAAAGUGUCCUUCCAUAUUUUGUGAAGGCUAAUACAUCGAUGAAUCUAGAUUUCUUUAAAUUUUUUGUUUUACUCAAUUCGAGAUAAUAAAUAGUUUAUCUUUAUUAAAUCUUUACUUUAACAAUGAUAGAUAUUCAAUCCAUGCAAAUAUCUAUCAUUGUAUGAGCUGAUUGCGUGGAGGGAGCGGUAAUUGAAAUCUAAUUGAAAACAGCAGAAGGCUGUUCUUGACAGAUCUCAAAUAUAUUACGGACACGUUGGGAGACAUCUCUAUCAUAGAUAUCCCCAUGCAGUGAUAUUUGUCGUGAUCUAAUUUUUAGUAAAUCUGUAAGAGAGAUUGUAACAUCUUUCAAGUUUUUUGGUUUGAUAUUCUAGACGAAAACGGUUUGUCGUUUCUUGAGCAAACGGCUAACCGUUUAAGUCCAGAGAGCAUGUUUGUUGUUCUGGAUAAAACGGCUCACCGUUGUUGCGAAAACGGCUAACCGUUUAACUCAAGAGAGCAUGUUUUAUGUUCUAGAGAAAACGGCUCACCGUUAUUGAGAAAACGGCUAACCGUUUAUUUACAGAGAGCAACGUAUUUGAUAUUCUGGAAUAAAAUGGCUCACCAUUUAUUGAGAAAACGGCUAACUGUUUAUUUCCAGAAAGGCGUCAAUUAGAAAAACGGUUAGCAAGAAUGAAAAUUUCAAUUGACAAUCGAUGCAAAUUCAAACCAAAAGAGUGUCUUCGAAAAAGUACCAUUUCUAAUGGUUGUAUUCUUUCAAAUAAACAUCUUCUUCAUUAAAGAAAUACACACAAUUAGAUUGAUAAUCAGAUUUUGACAGGUUUCUUAUAUGUUCUGGAAAUACAAUCUUAUUUGCUAGAGAUUGUAUUCAGGAUUUGUUAUAUCUUGGGGGUAAUUUGCCAUUAAAACUAUAUAGCAAACCAAGAUUGGUGAGGGCAAAUAAAACCUUAAAGGAAAGUAUGCAAACACGUCUCAAAUCCUAUGAAACUUUCUUUGUUCUUUGCCUCCAUAUUCUUAUUAUUCACUAACAAAAUCCCCAUGCAGUGAUAUUUGUCGUGAUCUAAUUAUUAGAAAAAUCUAUGAUUUCGCUACUGUAAUAAAAUUUGUCACUACUCUACAUUAAUCUAAAUGUCUGAUGAGAUUUGUAAUUGCUUCCGACGGGAAAACAGUUAAUAGGUUGAUUGAAUGUAUGUGGUAAAGAUUCCACGUAUCUCACGACAGAAUGCUGACCACUGGAACCCUAUCUACUUUUACGCGAUUAAUUCACGAGCUUAGGCACGACAAUUGCAAUACAAAUUAUCCCUUCAUCAUAUAUUUCGUUAAAAUUCAUUCUGAAGCACUAAAACUAAACAAUCGAAUAUGGCUUUGAGGGUCGAUGAUGCCAGCAGCAAUGAGAGUGCAAUUAUCACUUGUUUAGUUUCUGUGCUUGCCGUGGCUUAUUUAGCAUGGAAUGUGAAAAAAUCAAGGAAAGCAAAUGCUAAACUGCCACCAGGACCUCGCGGCUUGCCUGUAGUCGGAUACCUCCCAUUUCUCGGGACUACUGACUUGCACAAGAAAUUCACGGAAUUUAUUUUACUAUUAUAUUUAUAUUCAAAAUAAUUUUAAUUAGCUUUUAAAAUGAAUGAUUUUAGGAAAUUAUAAAUAAAGGUAACUAAGAAUUCUCUUAAUGUAAUAUAUUAUUAAUUAGUUUAAAAAUACAAAUUUAUUAAUUAGAGAAAUUAUUAGUGAAUUUAAAUUAAUGAUCUUAAUGAUUUGUUUGUACGAUUGCCCCCAAUCAAAGGUAAUUUUCCUAAAAAUUAUUAGGAAAUUAGAGAAAUUUAAUUUUUUUAGUGGGUUCAAUUGCCCACACACCCCGACUGAAGCAUUUUUUACAAUAUGUACUCCGUUUGUCGGCAGGAAAAUAAAGGUCUUGACACAUGAUCACUUCACUCCUUUAUUUACUUUGCUAACGCAGAUUUUGAGGUAUUAAAACAAAUAAUAAUUGAAUAUGACUUUGUGGGUCGACGACGCCAGCAACGAGGAGACCGCCAAUUAUCACAUUUUAAGUUUGCUGUAAUUGCCGUUGUUUUAUAUUAGUAGAAUAUUAGUGAUAAGAUAAUUGUAGAGUUUUCAUUUUUUUAAUAUUAAAAUCAAGUCAAUUUAUUAUAAUAAAUUUAGUUGAAUUUAAUCGUAUUACCACAUAAAUUGAAUAAUAAUAGAAUUCUCGACAAUAUUUCAAUAUUUUAAUCUCAAGCAUUGGAGUGGCAUUUAUUUGUUAUACGGUCGAUUUUAGAAUUUAUAAAAUUAUUCGUUGCUGAAUUGCACCAUAUGCUGCAUAACCUGAAACUUAAUAAACGGAACGUAGCGUUGGCACCGUUACUCAACAUUCACUGUUACGACUUUGUGACAUUAGAAUUAAAAUCUUUUCCACAUUUAAUUUGUUUACUUCCAACUUAAUAUUUAACAAAAUGUAUGUUAGCAUUGUAUGCCAUAUCAUCUGUAAUUUUGUCAGGAUCGAUCAUUCUAAUUUUUAAGCAGAACUUUUUGUCAAUGGACAAACACCUCAUACAGCUUGUCAGAGGCAUUAGUAUGAUGUAAAAUUGUAAUGGUAUAUCUUGAAUUAUUUUAGAAUAGUGAAUAACUAUUUGGAGCAAUAAAAACAAAUAAGACAGAUGAGAAAAUGGCUAAAAUUAUAUAAGUGACCCAAAAUUUUUUGCUAUUUCCAAGAAAUCCCCAAUCUGAAUGGACCAGAGGGAGGCAAGUUAGAAAUACAUUUCCUUCAUAGACAAUAACAACGAUGAGUGGAUGACAUCAAACCACGUUGGUAUCAAUAUUGAAAUAAAGGUGCAAUUAUUCAGCCAAUGAGCCUUAGUACACAUCAAGAUAUAUAAAAGUCAAGAAAAUGAAAAUUUAUCCCAAUUAAAACUCUUUCUGGCUGCAUUUAGCUGUUUCUGUUUAGGGAUGGCAAUUUAAUCCGGACCCAGCCCGACCCGGAUGAAUCCAGAAAAUUCGGGGUGGAUUCAACCCGUACCGGAGUGAAUAAAAUCUGAUAUUCAAAUUCAAUAUUUUCAACCCGGACGUUUCCGAGUCCGGAUCCGGAUUUGGGUAAACCCGCAUAUCCGGAACCCGGAUCCGGAUAACUAUUUUAAUAUUAAUUUUUAAAUCAUUUUAAAAUAAAAAAAAAUUAGAAAAAAUCAGCCCUAAUGCCCUUCCACAGCCACGGCAGCCAAACCAAACCCAGACAUUUCCUCUCUCUCUCUUUAGCCCUUCUUUUCAACAAAUCAUCAUCGUUGCUCAUCAUCGUUUCGUCGUGUUCAUCUUCAUCUUCAUCAUCAGCUGCCGUUUGUCCAGCUAUGUCACUAGUUUUGGCCGCCGUUUCCGUUUGUGCACCUUCGCAAAUCGGGAUCUCGAUUUGGCCGCCAACACUUCUACCCCCUGGUGUUUUGCUUUGUCCUCGACAACUUCUUUGUUGAUAAAUUGACGGGCACUUAUGAAUGCAUUUGUCUCUGUUUCUUCAUUUACACCUUCCCAGUUGUUUGUUCAUUUGCUUUUUGGAAGGAAAAAAAAAAAAAAUCAGCCACCAUUUAUCCUUCCCCUUUUCUUGACCUAACCCCACAAAGCCCAAUUUGUCAUCAUCAUUCAUUGGCAAAUUUGUUAUCAUCAUGGUUGAGACAUCAUGAUUAUCUUUGAUAAUUGAAUUUGUGUAAUAUGUUACCUUGGAUUUUAUUUCUAAGUAUUUGAUUUUGAAUUAUUUUCCAUUAUUGGUGUUAAUAGAUAGAAGAUUAGAAAGGAAUUCUUCACUGAAUAAAGAGAUGGGAAAUUGCAUCUUUUAGCAAUCAUCCGGGUUAUAAACCCGGAAUCCGGAAACCAGGAUUUUUCCGGGUUUAACCCAGUCCGGACCCGAAUGAAAAAUAUCCGGGUUUACAUCCGGGUCUGGUAUUAAAAUUUAUCGUCCGGAUCCGGAACAGGGAAGACAAAACCCGGACCCGAACCCACAUUUUGCCAUCCCUAUUUCCAUUUGAAGUUAACAACAACGUUUCUUUCGUUUUGUGGGCGACUUGACUGAGCCAGCUGGAUUCUAGUGCUAGUAUGUGAAAAUAGAAGGCUAAUGAUUUCACGUUCACUAGCCCACCUCCCCUCCUCUCGUUUCCUCUGAAUCAAUUUUCACGUGUGGUACCGAUUGAAAAUAUCUCUGACAUUUCGUGGACAUCUCUAUUGAAAAUAUCUCAGACAUUUCACUCAGGCAAACUUAUUAAUAUAAAAAAUCUAUGAUUUUUUCGUCUUAUACUGUAGAAAAAUUUGUCUAUACAUUAAUCUAGAUGUUUGAGGUGGUUUAUACAUCUGUGGUAUAGAUUUAUAGGUUGAUUGAUACGUCUGUGGUAUAGAUUUUAUGUAUUUCAUUAUCAAAUGCUGGCCUUUGGGACCCUAUCUACAUCUAUUUAUAAAACUAACGGGUGCCAGUUAUGCCAUUACAAAUUAUCCCCUCUUCAUACAUUUCCUUAAAAUUCUUCUGAAACACCAAAACUAAAUAAUCGAAUAUGGCUUUGCGGGUCGAUGAUGCCAGCAACAAUGAGGCUGCAAUUAUCACUUGUUUAGUUUCUAUGCUUGCCGUGGUUUAUUUCGUAUGGAAUGUGAACAAAUCAAGGAAAGCAAAUGCUAAACUGCCACCAGGACCUCGCGGUUUGCCUGUAGUCGGAUACCUCCCAUUUCUCGGAACUACUGACUUGCACAAGAAAUUCACGGAAUUAUCCGGAGUUUAUGGUCCGAUCUUCAAGCUCUGGCUCGGAAAUAAAUUAAGUGUCGUGGUGAGCUCACCUUCCCUAGUUAAACAAGUGGUUCGUGAUCAAGAUACAACAUUCGCAGACCGUGACCCGCCGAUCUCAGGACUAGUGACCUCCUUUGGUGGCAAUGAUAUUACAUGGUCCAAUUACGGUCCCGAAUGGAGAAAGUUGCGCAAAUUUUUUGUGGGCAAGAUGAUGAGUAACGCAAGCCUUGAUGCUUGUUAUGCUUUAAGAAAACAUGAGGUUAAAAAUACUAUCAGGGAUUUGUAUAACAACGGCAACAAAAUUGGUAAGCCCAUUGACAUUGGUGAAUUGUCGAUUUCAACAUUGGUAUGUGCUAUGCAGAACAUGCUGUGGGGUGAAGCGCUUGAAUUAAAAGAGAAAGGGACAACUAAUCUUGGGGUUGAGCUAAAAUUUAAGUUUGCAGAACUCAUGGUGCUACUGGGAACACCGAAUAUUUCGGAUAUCUUUCCAAUGCUUUCUUGGCUCGACAUACAAGGUAUAGAGAGGAGAGCAAAGAAGAUUUCACUCUGGUUUGAAAAAAUUAUAAAUUCUACUGUUGAAAAGUAUAGAAGCAAGGACUUUAAUGUUGAAGGUAAAGAAAGAGCAGGGGAAAAUUUUGAAGGAUCAAGGAACAAGAACUUCUUGCAGUUACUAUUGGAGCUUCAAGAAAAUGAAGACGGUUCUUCCUCAAUUAGCAUGAACCAAUUUAAGGCCGUACUCGUGGUAUGUUAAGAAACUAGCCGCAAACAGUUAUACAAGCACAGCUGUAUAUUUUGCAUGAGUGAUAUUUUCAACCUUUUUUUUUUAUAAUUAGAAUUUUAUUGUAACCUUUUGGACAGGAUAUAAUUACGGCUGGAACCGACACCACAACUACGAUGGUGGAAUGGACAAUGGCAGAGUUGAUGCAGCAUCCACAAAUAAUGAAGAAAGUUCAGGAAGAAUUAGCUCAAGUUGUGGGCAUGGACAGUUGUGUUGAAGAAUUUCAUUUGCCUAAAUUGAAAUAUUUAGAUGCUGUGGUGAAAGAAUCGUCUCGUCUGCAUCCUGCAGUGCCUUUAUUACUACCACGCAGAGCAAGCGAGAGUGGCAGCAUUGGUGGCUAUAACAUUCCCAAAGAUACAACUAUUAUGUUGAAUGUUUGGGCAAUCCACAGGGACCCUAAACUUUGGGAUAAUCCCUUAGAAUUUCGACCCGAGAGGUUUCUAGAUGAUGGUAUCGCGAGUAAGUUCGAUUACUCAGGUAACAAUUUUCAGUACUUGCCAUUUGGUUCUGGUAGAAGGAUGUGUGCUGGGAUUCCUCUAGCUGAGAGGAUGCUGAUGUUUGUUUUGGCUUCGUUAUUGCACUCAUUUGAGUGGGAAUUGCCAGCUGGCACAAAGCUAAACUUAUCUGAAAAAUUUGGGAUUGUCAUUAAGAAAAAAGAGCCUUUAGUUGCUAUUCCAACACCAAGACUAUCCAAUUCAGAGCUCUACCAUUAAGACAGAAUGGUUGUGAUGAUUUUGUUAAUUUCCGAAGAUUUGUAUGUUAUGUCAAGUUCAAUCGUAAUAAAAUAUUUCAAAUAAGAGUCCUCCGUUGCUUUUUUUUUUUUUUUCAACCGCAUAAUCUGUCGUCAUGCUUGUAUUUGGGGCUACUUUGGAAUAAUUAUGUUUGAAUUACAAUAUAUAAAUAUUACAUUUUAAAAUUUUAUGAGAUUCUAAAUUUAUACACGUUCAAUAACCCACUUCAUAUAUGUUUAACACAAUUUAUAUCAUACAUUGUAUACCCAUUUGUCAUAAAUUACGCUAUUUUAUAUCUCUAAAUAAUAUUACAUAUUGAUAUUAUAAAAUGUUGUUAACUCACGUGUGUAUAUAUAUAUAGCAAGUCACGUGCAUAUAUUAUUGGUUGUUAUAUGUUUGCUAGUUUGAUAGGAUUUCCUUUCCUUGUGAACUAGGGUAAUUCUUAUGUACAUAUAAAUAUUGAUCAAUAAGAGUGCAGAUGAUGACUGCAGUUUUGCAUCGUAGAAAUUCUUCGUAAAAUAUAUAUGUUUAUCAAAAGGCUAUACCAUUCAAUAUAUAUUGGAAAGAGAACAAAGAAGAUCUUCUUAUGGUUUGAAAAUAUUAUGAAUUCUGCUGUUGAACAGUAUGGAAACAAGGUCUGUUGUUAAAGGUGAAGAAGUCACAGGGAACAAUAUUGAAGGAAGAAAUUUCACGUUUAGUUGCUGAAUUUGCCGCUGUAUUCUAUCGGUAGUAAAAAGAUUAGAGUUUUUAUUUUUCUCUAUUAAUGUUAAGUCAAUUUUCUAUAACAAAUUCGGUUGAGUUUAAUUGUGUUACAAUAUAAAUUGAAUGAUAGUAGAAUUUUCAACGAAUAAUUCAAUAUUUCUAUCUCGAUUGUUGAAGUGCCAUUUAUUUGUUAUACGAUCGAUUUUAAAAUUUAUAAAAUUAUUUGUUACUAAAUUGCAUCAUAUGCUAAAUCACCUGAAACCUAAUUUCAUAACUAACCCUUUAUUUUUAGUUCUCAAGAAAUCUUGUAAGAACAAAAUUCUUUUGUAACAAAACGUUUACAACAAAUUAAUUUGUAACUCAUUCCUGUGCGAGAAUCACUCUCAAUUUCCUUCAAUUGCUGUUUAACAAUCAUCUGCUUAUCAAAAUUCAAGCAUAAUCUUUUUUUUUAAUUUCUUCAUCAUUCUUUUGAAAAAAAAAAUCAGGAUAUGCUGUUAAAUUUUGAAAUAAAUUAUCUCAAAAUAAUUACUAACCAGAAAAAACAAAGGGGUUUAACUAGGUUAUGCAUACCUUUGAAAAUUAUAUGUUGAUCGAUAAGAAUGAUGAUCACGAUUGACGAGUUUAAUUAAAAUAUAUAAGAUUUUAAAAUUAAUCAGGGUUAAAUUGUGAAUUUUAGAAAGAGAGGUUUUGUGAGAAUGUUGAAAGGGUGUUAAUAGUUCCACUCUUUUUAAAAACAACCAUAGUCAUCAUUUUUCCAUGGUUGUUUUUAAAAAGAGUAUUUCUUCUUCCCAUCUCCAUCUUAUUUAGAAAUUUCCCAGAGCCUUUGUUUCCCACCUUUCAUUUUUCUUCUUUCUAAUUUAAUAAUCCACCCUUCUUGUAUUCAAACUAAAAAAUUAAAAUCUGAAAAUUUAAAACCCAAUAUUAUAGUAUUAUAAAAAUAAUUACUCACAUUUUAUCAAACACCUCCAUUCUUCCAAGGCCUUGUUUUAGUAGUAGGCUUUUAUUAUCUCAAUAAAAUUGAAAAAAAAAAUCUCAAUAAUAUUGGAAAAAAACCCUACCCAUAUUUGUAACUUUAAUUUAUUAUUCUCCAUAGACCUACUUUUUAGUUUUGAAUUUUGUUGGAGCCAUAUAUAAACAGAAUAUGUUGAAAUCAGCACCCAAAAAAAAAAAAACUAAUUAUAUAAUUUAUGUUCCCAAGGACAUGGCUGAGUGAUUUUCAAGAAGUUUUGUUUGGCUGGCCACUUAGGUUUAAAUCUUGGUGGAGAUUAAGGGUUAAGAAAUAAAUUUAGACUUUGCACACCCCUUUAACUUUUAAAAAGAAAUGAAAAAAUUAAUUAAUUAAUCUUUAUUUUAUUUAUUAAAUGUCAUAAUCCUAUGCGUAUUUUAUUUGUUAUCUUUCUAUUUAAAAGACGAGGGCAGAUAAAACUGAAAUAAAUUUUUAGCCCUAUCUCCAUAUUUCAAGUUCCAUAGUUAGGUGACCAGCUAAAAAAAAUUAAUUGAAAGCUACUCCAUCAAAUUAAAAAAAUUUAUUUAUUUAAUUUGUGGAGAUGUAGAAAAUCAAACCCCAUACCUUUUCGCAUACACUGAACAUAUUUUAAUACAUGACUAUCAUCCUUUAUCCUAAAUACUACUAUAACUAAUAACAUACAAUUGAAAUAAUUAAUGUUAACACUUGGCUAUAAAUAAAGGUUUUGUGCUUGAAUCUUCACGCAUGACCUUCAUUCCUUUAUUGACUUUGCUAACACAGAUUUUGAGGCAUUAAAACUAAAUAAUAAUUGACUUUGUGGGCCGAGGAUGCCAGCAACAAGGAGACCACAAUUAUCACUUAAGUUACUCUAAUUGCCGUUGUCUUAUAUUCAUAGAAUAUUAGUAAUAAGAUUAUUGCAGAAUUUUUUUAAUAUUAAAAUUAAGUCAAUUUGUUAUAACAAAUUUAGUUGAGUUUAAUCGUGUUACUACAUAAAUUGAAUAAUAAUAGAAUUCUCGACAAAUAUUUCAAUAUUUUUAUCCCAAGCGUUGGAGUGGCAUUUAUUUGUUAUACGAUCGAUUUUAGAACUUAUAAAAUUAUUCGUUACUGAAUUGCACCAUAUGCUGCAUGACCUGAAACUUAAUAAACGGAAUGUAGCGUUGGCACCGUUACUCAACAUACUGUUACGACUUUGUGACAUUAGAAUUAAAAUCUUUUGCACAUUUAAUUUGUUUACUUCAAAAUUAAUAUUUAACAAAAUAUUUUUUUCACAUUAUCAAUGGACAAAACUCCAACGAAAAUAACUACACAAGAAAAAUGUAUGCUAGUAUUGUGUGCCAUAUCAUCUGUAAUUUUGUCAGGAUCGAACACUCUAAUUUUUAAGCAGAACUUUUUAUCAAUGGACAAACACCUCACACAGCUUGUCAGAGGCAUUAUUAUGAUAGAAAACUGUAAUGGUAUAUCUUGAAUUAUUGGUAGAAUAGUUCUUUGGAGCAAUAAAAAUAGAUAAGACAGAUGAGAAAAUUGUCAAUACCCCACCGCAAAAGCAAAAGAAAAAAAGGAAAGGAGACAAAAGAGGAAGAAGAAAAAAAGGAAAGGAGACAAAAGAGGAAGAAGAAAAAGAAAAAAGAACGAAGAAAAAAAUGGUGCCGCGCUGUAUUGGGAAGAAGAAAAAAAUUAAUAAAAUAAUAAUAAAUAAUAAAUAAUAAAUAAUAAAAUAAUAGUGCACAACAAUCAUUUGAUUGCUAUAAAUAAAGGGGCAUUUUCCUCAUUUUAUUCAUCGAAUUCUUCAGUUCCUUUCAAGCGAUUUAAGAGUCUAGUGAUUUGAGAGUUUGGGAGUAUUGUGAUUUUGAGUACUAAGUUAAAAUACUAUAAUACUUGUAACUCAUUUUCACUAGUAAAAUAUUUUUCUUCUGUCUUCGCCCGUAGACGUAGGCUAAAAGCUGAACCACGUAAUUUCUGGUGUCCCUAUGUGAUUAUGUGUCUCAUUAUUUCUCAAUUUUACUUUAGUUACGUGUCUGCUACACCCUUCAAUUUACUAACAAAAAUGGCCAAAAUUAUAUAAGUGACCCAAAUUUUUUUGCUAUUUCCAAGAAAUCCCCAAUCGGAAUAGACCAAACUAGAGGGAGGCAAGUUAGAAAUACGUUUCCUUCAUAAACAAUAACAGCGAUGAGUCGAUGACAUCGAGCCACGUCGGUAUCAAUAUUGAAUUAAAGGUGCAAUUAUUCAGCCAAUGAGCCUUACACAUCAAGAUAAAAGUCAAGAAAAUGAAAAAUUUAUCCUAAUUAAAACACUUUCUGGCUGCAUUUAGCUGUUUCUAUUUGAAGUUAAAAACAACAUUUCUUUCGUUUUGUGGGCAACUCGACUGAGUUCGCUGGCUUCUAGUGCUAGUAUGUGAAAAUAGAAGGCUAAUGAUUUAUUUGUUAUCUUUUGACAAAAAAUGUUAAAGAUAUAAUAGAUUUUCCAUGAUACAAAUGAAAAAUUAUAUCAACAUAACUUCCAAGCUACAGCAGCUAGUGUUUACCAAACACUUUGCUGUAGCUUUUAAGCUACAGCUGCCCAACCUCAAUAGGUUGAUUGAAUUUGUGGGAUAUAGAUUCCACAUAUCUCAUGACCUAUUAAUUAUACAAGUGGUUCUUGAUCAAGAACAACAUUUGCUUCCGACCCAGUAACCCAGCAACUGCUGCACUGGUCGCCACCUAUGGUGCCGACGAUAUUGCAUGGUCCAAUUAUGGCCUUGAAUGGAAAAAGUUGAGCAAAUUAUUUGUGGGCACGAUGAUAAGUAACGCAAGCCUUGAUGCUAGUUAUGGUCGAAGAAAACAAGAGGUUAAGAAUACUAUCAGAGAUAUGCAUAACAACAAAAAGGAAAAAAAAAAAAAAAGGCAUUGGCAAGUCAAUUGAUAUUGCUGAAUUGUCGAUUUCAACUUUGGCAUGUGUAAUUCAGACAUUGCGCGUUGUGGUAUGGCGCUGGCACGCUUGCAUUGCCGAGAGGACAAAUCUUGGGGCUGGGCUAAAAUUUAGGCUUGUAGAACUCAUGGUGCUAAUGGGAACGCCAAAUUUUUUUAACAUAUUUCGGUGCUUUCAUGGUUUAAUUCAAGGUAUAGAAAGGAGUGUUGAGAAUGUCAAAUAAAACGACAUUGAAUGGAAGUUGUCAAAGACAUGAUCCGCACUGAACGGCAAUGACACGGUUGGUAAAGAUUUUUUCAUAAUAUGCGUAUCUAAUUUUUGAAAAAUUGUAACCUCUGCUUCUAUAAAUAUGCUCAAUGUAUAAUGUUUUACUUAAGAAAUGAAAAACUUAAUUCUUUAUGGUAUCAGAGCGAGGCUCGUUGCUCUGUUUGUAACAAAAACAAAGAAAACUAAAUUCUUCCCACAACUAUUUUUCCACCUUUUUUUCUUCCUUAAAAGCAUUCCUAGCAUUACAGAAACCCAUGCCAAUAAAAGAACAAGCCACACAUAUGUAAAAACUUUAGUUUACAAAUCUAUCAACAUCCCCAUAAAUUUUCCCAAAAAGUGAUCUUCAAAAACCAAAAAUACCAUCAAUUUUCGCAUCUUCUAGUAAACAAACUAUAAAAGUUUCGCACUCAAACAGAGCCACACGCGCCUCCACGCGCUUCCCGGAAUCACGGCCAACCACCACGCGCCUCUGUCACCACCAACUCACCCUCAUGCGCUCCAGAUGUUGCAGAAGACGCAAAACGACGUGUCGUUUUCUUCUCUAAAAGUGCAGCAACGUGGAAAUGACUUUUUGUUUUUGCCUUAAAUUGUUUUUCCUCGUUUGAAGCUAUACAACAUUUUUCUUUCUAAACCUGUUUUUUACAAUAAAAAAAGAAAAAAAUGGAGAAAACUCCAACUGAAUCUACUCAUGUUGUCAUUCAAUCUGUUCAACCUGAUGGAGUAUUUAAUGCCGAAAUUAUCCUUACUAAGACAAACUACGAUAUUUGAUCUCAAAUAAUGGAGAUGCAUCUCGCAGAAAGAAAAAAACUCCCAUAUAUUCGUAGCAGCAUAAAUCCAUCUGACAAAUUUUCAAAGAAAUAUGAGAAAUGGUAUAGUGAGAACCAAAAAGUAAAAAGAUGGUUACUCAUAACCAUGUGUCCUGAGAUCAUGAAGCGAUAGUUACAAAUUCCUACAGCCUACGAAAUUUAGAAUGCAUUAUCAAAAGCCUUUUAUAAUGGAAGCGAUGAAAUACAAGUUUUCACUCUAAAUCAGAAGGCGUUCUCUACGAAGCAAAAUGGACAACCACUCUCUAAAUUCUACGGAGAAUUGAUCAAAAUGUUUCAAGAACUUAAUCACCGAGAUAAAGUGGUCAUGAAGGAUCCAGAAGAUGUUAUAAUAUAUAGGAAGUUUGUUGGAAGAUUGAGAGUGCACAUUUUUCUUGCUGGACUAGAUGAAGAAUUUGACCAAGUUUGUGGAGAAAUUCUACGAAAAGAUACUAUCCUAGACUUAAAAGAAUGUUAUUCUCUAAUCCGAAAAGAAGAUGUACGGCAAAGCAAACUAACAAGAAGGUGGACGACUCAGAAACGUCUGCUAUGAUACCACAAGAGAACAAUGUUUUGAAAUUGUUCGAUAUCCUGACUGGUGGGAUACUCGAAGUAAUAACACAAAGCAGAGAUAAAAAACUGCAGUAGCUGAAUCCACAUCCACUACAGAUCUUAGAAAAGAAUCUUCAGCGCAAAUUGCAACCUCUGUCAAUUCAGGUAAGGUCAUUAAAACUCUUACAUUUGUUAUUAAUAGUAUAUGGAUAAUUGAUUAUGGUGCAACUGAUCAUAUGACUUUUGAUUCUUGACAAGUUUCUUAAUUGAAACCAUCUUCACAUAAACAUGUUUCUACUGUAAAUAGAACCACAACCUCAGUUAUUGGGGAAGGAUCUUUACAACUCACAAUUAAAUCAAAUUUAGACUUUGUGUUAAUUGUUCCAUCUUUAAAUUAUAAUCUUUUAUAUGUGUCUCAAAUAACCUCUUACUUAUCAUGUGUUGUAAUGUUUUGGCCCGAUCAUUGCAUGUUUAAGGACAUCCAAAUGAAGGAAACGAUUGGUUAUGAUAUUAAAUAAGGCAACUUGUAUUACCUGGAGAUGACAUCAACAAACACUGAAAAGCUAAGCCCCGCAUUAGUAGCAGACAAUUCCAUGAAAAAAAAGGAAAUAAGAAAUUUGGUUAUGGCAUAGACGAUUAGGGCAUGUGUCAUUUGAUUUCUUAAAAAAAUUGUUUCCUAGUUUGUUUCUGAAAUUUGAUAUUUGUAACUUUAAAUAUGAUGUUUGUGAACUUUCAAAUAGCCAUCGAACUACUUUUCCAUUGUCCUUAAAUAAGAAUCCAAUUCCUUUAAUGGUAGUACAUUCUGAUGUAUAGAGACCAUCUAAAGUUUCUACCAUUGGAAGAGCUCGUUGGUUUGUUACAUUUAUUGAUGAUUGUAGCAGAAUGACAUGGAUUUUUUUAUGAAAUUAAAAUCAUAUGAUGGUGACAACUCUAUUUCAGACACAAAUUUGAGUUCUACAUACUGAUAAUGGAGGCGAGUAUAUGAGCACAACAAUUCAACAGUUUUUGAAAUCACAAUGAACUCACCACCAAACCACUUGUGUGGGGACACUCCAACAAAAUGGCGUUGCUAAACAAAAAAAUAGACAUUUACUAGAAGUUGUUCAAGCAUCACUAAUUUAGGCCCGCAUGCCACUAUUUUAUUGGGGAGAAGCAUUGGCAUCCGUAGCAUACUUGAUCAAUCGGACACCUUCAAUCUUCCUUGGAUUCCAAACUUAUUUUCUAGUUCUAAAUGAAGAAUUAUGUCAUCAAAUGUGUCGAAUUUACCCCCACAUAUGUUUGGUUGUGUUGCCUUCGUUCAUUUGCCAUGACAAGAUAAAUUAUCUCCUCGAGCACUACGUUGUGUGUUUGUAGGGUAUGCCUUACAUCAAAAGGGGUACCGAUGCUAUCAUCCUCUAUUAAGAAAAAAUAUACAUCACCAUGGACAUAAUCUUUCAUGAAGAUAUCAUGUAGUACCCAUCGGAGCUUGAAUUUCAGAGGGAGUAUAAUGAAGAGGAAAUUCAUACUCUUACAUAUCUUUCACCUGAAGAAGAUCAAUCCUCCAUUGAGGUAGUAAACGUUCAAGAUACUGGAAAAGAAAACGACAAUGAUUCUCAGGCUGAGACAAGUGAAGACACAUUUAGGGAGCAAAAUAACUCAGACAUAACCACAAUCGAGAACGAGUCCAUGAAGAGCCACAUGAAGAAAUAUCUAACCAAUCAUCUGCAGAGGAUGAUCCUACCACAAAUCCCAGUCUAAUCAGAAGAAUACUUCCCCAGCAUCAAAAUAGAGGUAUCUCUAAACCCACAUAUAAGACUGACCUCUCUAGUAGAGUCAAAUACCCUAUGAGUCAUUUUGUAUCUAACCAUGGCUUAUCAAAAUCAAAUCAGUCAUUUGUGAAUCAAUUAUCUACUGUGUCUAUUCCUAACAGUGUGCAAUAAGCCUUAAAAUAUCGAAAGUGGAAAGGGCUAUGAAUGACGAAAUGAGAUCUCUUUAAAAAAAAUCAAACAUGGGAACUAAUUGAUCUUCCACCAGGAAAGAAACCAGUGGGUUGCCGAUGGAACUAGUUGAUCAUCCACCUCCAUUCUGACAAGCAAUGUUUAUCAGCAAUAACAAAUGACUGAAGCAUUUUAAUGAGGUUAGUAACGAAAAAGAGUUUAAUUAGAGAAUAUUAUAAGAGAAAUUCUAAUUUUUGAUUUUUAAUAAAUUAAAAUAUCUUAAAAUAUUAUUAGUUGGUGGUGGUUUCAUGUCAGAUUAAGACGUGACACCUUACUAAUGAGGUCGAGACAAUUAGCUUAAAUUAUUUCAAUGCAUUUGAAAUUUCCACUAAUGACUAUAAUUCUUUGUCCUAAUUACUAUGAUAAUUAAUAACAUACAAUUGAAAUAGUUAAUAUUAGCACUUGGCAAUAAAUAAUUAAAUUUCAUUAACACUAAAUAAUAAUUGAAUAUGGCUUUGUACAUCGAUGACGCCAGCAACAAGGGGACCGCGAUUAUCACUCUUUAAGUUGCUUUUAAAAUUGAUUUUAGUAGUGAUAUGAUUAUUGUAGUGUUUUUAUUUUUUAUAUUAAAAUUAAGUGAUUUGUUAUAAUAAACUUAGUUGAGUUUAAUGGUAUUACUACAUAAAUUGAAUAGUUAUCAAAUAUUUUAAUAUUUUUAUGGCAAGCGUUGACGUGGCAUUUAUUUGUUGUAUGAUGGAUUUUAAAAUUUAUAAAAUUAUUUGUUAUUAAAUUACCCCCAGAUGCUACAUCACCUGAAACUUAAUAAAGGUAUGAAGACAUGUGUGUGUGGACUGAAAUGAAGAAUAUGGAAAAGUUGAGAGCUGUUGUGCAGAUUGAGUUCAGUUGAUGGGGUCUAUUAGAUAUUGUCUGCUGACGUGGCAUGAAUUCGUUAUAAUCUGUUAUAACGAGUUCAGUAUAUCAGUAUACAAUAGAGCUGAUGGAUGGUGCCUGUUUUAGAGUCUUUUUUAUAUUCAUUUGUUCAUCAUUUUGCGCAAGAUCUGUUCCAUUGUGAUAUGUGUAAAGUCUUAUGUAAACCCACUUAUGAUUGGAUUAGUUCUUGAUUAAUAACAACGAGUAAAUUUUCCUUCAAGUGUGCUGGUCUGUGCCCCUGUUUUUUGUUCUGAUAUUGUUUCUUUGUUCUGGCAUUUCAUUUCGAUUGUGUUCUUGGUGUUUCUACUCAUCAAGAUUUAUGAGUCUUGUUGAGAUUAAAGACUUAAUAGUCUUAACAAGUGGUAUCAGAGCCUGGUGAAUCUCAGCCAUGUCUCUUUCGAAGCAUGAAAUUGAAAAAUUCACCAUUGGUGGUGAUUUCUCGCUUUCGAAAUUAAAAAUGAGGGCUCUCCUUGUGCAUUAGAGGCUUGAAUUUGCUCUGGAAAAAGAUAAUCUAGAGGCUGCUACAAGUUAUGUGACUGAUGAUAAGAAGAGACAAAUCCAAAACCGAGCUCGUAGCACUCUAGUUUUGAGUCUUGGUGACUCAAUCUUGAGAAAGAUUUCUGAAGAGAAGACAACCUUAGGGAUUUGGAACAAGGUAGAAGCUUUGUGUACAAAGAAGUCGCUAGCUCACAGACUAUUCUUGAAGAAAAAGUUAUACACAUUCUCGAUGAGAGAAGGAGUCACAAUUCAAGAUCACAUUGAUACCUUCAACAAGAUCAUUCUUGAUCUUGAAGGGGUGGAAAAUGUGACAAUAAGUGAUGAAGAUAAAGCCUUCUUCUUGUUGAGUUCCUUACCAAAGUCUUAUGAAGGCUUUGUAGAUACAAUGCUUUAUGGCAGAACAACAUUGACUCUUGAAGAUGUUAAAGCAUCUCUAAGUUCAAAAGAGAUUCAGAAGAACAAUGAGAUUGAAACAAAUAAUGGUGAUGGGCUGAUUGCCAGAUCAGAAAAGAAGAAAGAUCAGAAGAAUAAAAAUCAGGGAAAAUGACAUGGAAAGAAUUAAGAAAAUGCAGACAAGAAGAAAAAGAAGAGAAAAUGCUUCUACUGCCGGAAGGAAGGGCAUUACAUCAGGGAUUGUCUUAAAAAGAAAAAAAAAGAAAGUCAAGAGAAGUCAGGGGAUGCAGCUGUAGCCUCUGAUGAUGCCUCUGAUGGAUAUCACAUUGCUGAUUUACUUGUGGCCUCAAAUAGCAAUACUAAAGGUCAGUGGGUCAUAGACUCUGAGUGCUCUUUUCACUUGUGGCCUGAUAAAACCAUAUUUUACAAAUAUGAAGUUGUUGAUGGUGGUAGAGUCUUAAUGGGAAAUAAUAAUGUGUGUAAUCUUGUUGGUAUUGGUUCUGUGAAGAUCAAGAUGUUUGAUGGAACUGUAAGAGCUCUACAUGAGGUGAGGCAUGCUCCUAGGCUAAAGAGAAAUCUAAUCUCUUUAGGCAUGCUAGACAGCUUAGGGUAUUUCUUUAAAUCAGAAAGUGGUGGUUUAGAGAUAAGAAAGGGGACUGAGAUAGUGAUGAAGGGGGUUAAAGAAAAUGGCUUAUAUGUAUUGUAAGGCUCAUCAGUGCUUCUUCAAAAGGGAAUUUCUGCUCUUUUUGAGGAAGAUAUAACCAAGUUAUGACAUCUUAGACUUGGUCAUAUGAGUGUCAAAGGGAUGUAAGAGCUCAGCAAACAAGGGCUACUUGGUGGGGAUAGAAUCCAGCAACUGGAAUUAUGUGAAAAUUGCAUUUUUGGCAAAGCUCACAGGUCCAAGUUUCACAAGGGGGAGCAUAUGUCUAAGCAAGUUUUGGACUAUGCACAUGCUGACCUUUGGGGGCCUGCUCAAGUCCCAUCCUUGAGUGGUGGCAGGUAUUUCAUAUCACUAAUUGAUGAUUACUCAAGGAAGAUGUGGGUCUACAUACUCAAGACCAAAGAUCAAGCCUAGGAAAAAAUUCAAGGUAUAGAAAUCUUUGGUAGAAAAUCAAUUUGGAUUCAAGCUCAAAUGCUUGAGAACUGAUAAUGGUUUGGAAUUUUGUAGCAAAGAAUUUGAGGAAUAUUACAAAAAAACAUGGCAUAAAAAGGCACAAAACAGUCAGGUUCACCCCCCAGCAGAAUGGCUUGGCUGAAAGGAUGAACAUGACCUUGGUAGAUAAGACCAGAUGUAUGUUGAUAAAUUCAAAGCUUCCAAGAAGCUUUUGGGCAGAAGCUGUCAAUACAACAAGUUGUUUGGUUAACAGAAGCCCAUAUUCUGCAAUUGGCUUCAAAACACCAGAAGAAUUGUGGAAGGAAAAACCUGUAAAUUACCAAAAUCUCAGUGUUUUUGGAUGCCCUGCUUAUCUCCACAUCAAUCAAGGCAAGCUGGAAGCUAGGGCCUUGAAAGGAGUCUUUGUUGGAUAUCCUGAUGGGGUUAAGGGAUACAUAAUCUGGUGUAGAGAGUAAGGGAAGUGUAUAGUCAGCAGGGAUGUUGUGUUUCAUGAAUUUGGAUUGCUAAAAGAAAAUGCAGAGAAUGAUACUAGACUACAAAAUGAUUCAAUAAUUAUCAAACAAUCUGGAACUUCCAAGGUUAAGGUGGAGCUGUUUGGAAAUAAAGACAGUAGAAAAGAGGUAGCUGAUUAUGAAGAGAGGACCACAGCUAAAGUUGAGGAACAUGAGUCAUCAGAGUUGCCACAAGCUGACUUGCAGACUUAUCAGUUAGCAAGAGAUAGAGUUAGAAGAGAAGUCAAAGCACUAGUGAGGUAUGGCUAUGCUGACUUAAUUACUUAUGCAUUGUUGUGUGCUGAUGAUGUGGCAAUUGAAGAGCCUGCUAACUUCUCUGAAGUUAUUGAAAGUGUGCAUUGUGAUAAGUGGCUUGAGGCAAUGCAAGAUGAAAUGGGAUCCCUUCAAAGAAAUCAGACCUGGACACUUGUUCCAAAUCUAGGUAAUAAAAAGUUGAUCAGUUGUAAGUGGAUCUUCAAGAAGAAUGAAGGAAUUCCAGAUGUUGAACCUCCCAAAUAUAAAGCAAGGCUAGUGGCUAGGGGGUUUACACAGAGAAAGAGUGUAGAUUUCAAUGAAAAAUUUUCCCCUGUUCUUAAGCACAUUUCAAUAAGAAUUUUAUUAGUCAUGGUAGCCUUACUUGACUUGGAGCUUGAGCAAAUGGAUGUAAAAACAGCAUUCCUUCAUGGUAAUCUUGAAGAACAGAUAUUGAUGGCACAACCUAAAUGUUUUGAGUGCAAAGGAAAUGAGGAUUAUGUUUGUUUGCUGCAUAAGUCCUUGUAUGGACUCAAGCAAUCCCCACGACAGUGGUACAUAAGAUUUGAUGAUUUUAUGGUCUCAAAAGGCUAUCACAUAAGCAAAUAUGACAGUUGUGUUUACUUUGGUGGAUCAUAUCAAGGUGGAGUUGCUUAUUUGCUUCUGUAUGUUGAAGAUAUGUUAAUUGCAAGAAAAUAUAAGUUGGAGAUAGAGAGGUUGAAGAAAUGAAGGAUCUCGGCAAUGCCAAAAGAAUCCUUGGGAUGAACAUUACAAGGGGCAGAUCUGCUGACACUUUGUUCUUGAGUCAUGAGAAAUAUAUCAAGAAGGUUCUGGAGAGGUUUGAGAUGCAAGACUAUAAACCUGUCCAAACACCACUUGGUCCCCAAUUCAAGUUGACAGCAGCUCAAUCAUCAGAAGAUGAGUCUCAGGUGAGUGAAUUCCCAUAUGCACAGGUUGUAGGGAGCCUGAUGUAUGUAAUGGUAUGCACCAGGUCAGAUAUAGCUUAUGCAGUAAGUGUUGUCAGCAAAUUUCUCAGUUGUCUAGGCAAGGUUCACUGGAAUGUUGUAAAAUGGAUAAUGAGAUAUCUUAAGGGCUCUUUUACUUGUGGUUUGCUGUAUGGGAAGACUAAGAGUGACAUAAGUGAAGUCCUGGGGUUUGUAGACUCUGACUUUGCUGGAGAUCUUGAUAGAAUGAAGUCAACCUCAGGGUAUAUGUUUGUGUUAAACAGUUGCCUGAUUAGCUGGAAGUCAUCACUUCAGUCUGUGGUUGCUUUAUCCUCAACUGAAGCUGAGUUUGUUGCAACUACAGAGGCAGUAAAAGAGGCCAUGUGGCUAAGAGGUUUGCUUAAUGAGUUAUGGUUAAAUCAGAAAAUUGUUCAGGUUUUCUGUGAUAACCAAAGUGUCAUACACCUGGUAAAGAAUCAGAUGUAUCAUGAAAGAACCAAGCACAUUGAUGUGAAGCUCCAGUUUAUCAGAGAUGAGGUUGGAAAAGGAACUAUAAUUGUGUCCAAGAUCUAUACCAGUGUGAAUCCAACUGAUGUUAUUACAAAAGCACUUCCCACUGCAAAAUUUGAAUUCUAUGUGAAUCUAAUGGGCAUCUCGCCCAAACCUAACUAAAUUCAAUAGUGAAUUGUAGUUGAAUGAAGGUUUUUUAGGUGCUGUGUUAUUGAAAGGAUCAACUGAAUCAACUGCAAGGUGGAGAAUGUGAAGAUGUGUGUGUGGACUGAAAUGAAGAAUAUGAAAAAGUUGAGAGCUGUUGUGCAGAUUGACUUCAGUUGAUGGGGUCUAUUAGAUAUUGUCUGCUGACGUGGUAUGAAUUCGUUAUAAUCUGUUAUAACGAGUUCAAUAUAUCAGUAUAUAAUGGAGCUGAUGGAUGGUGCCUGUUUUAGAGUCUUUUUCGUAUUCAUUUGUUCAUCAUUUUGCACAAGAUUUGUUCCAUUGUGAUCUGUGUAAAGUCUUCUGUAAAUCCACUCAUGAUUGGAUUAGUUCUUGAUCAAUAACGAGUAAAUUUUCCUUCAAGUGUGCUGGUCUGUGCCCCUGUUUUUGGUUCUAAUAUUGUUUCUUUGUUUUGGCAUUUCAUUUCGAUUGUGUGCUUGGUGUUUCUACUCAUCAAGAUUUGUGAGUCUUGUUGAGAUUAAAGGCUUAAUAGUCUUAACAAAAGGGAAUGUAGCAUUGCCAUUAAUCAACAUUCACUCUUAUGACUUUAUGACAUUAGAAUUAAAAUCUUUCGUACAUUUAAUUUAUUUGCUUCCAAAUUAAUCUUUAAUAAAUAUUUUUUCACAUUAUCAUCAAUGGACAAAACUCCAACGAAAAUAACUACACGAGAACAAUUUAUGCUAGUAUUAAAUGCCACGAUAUCUAUAACUUUGUCUGGAUCGAUCAUUCUAAUUUUUUCGCAGAACUUUUUGUCAAUGGACAAACACCUCACAGAGCUUGUCAGCCGCAUUAUUACGAUGUAAAAUUGUACCGGAAUAUCUUGAAUUAUUAGUAGAAUAAUGAAGACUAUUUGGGGCAAUAAAAACAAAUAACGCAGAUAAAAAAAUGGCUAAAAUUAUGUAAGUGAGCCCCAAAGUUUUUGCUAUUUCCAGGAAAUCCCAAAUUUGAAUGGACUAGAGGGAGGCACGUAAGAAAUACAUUUUCUUCCUAGACAAUGACAGCUAUGACAUCAAGCCACGGUGGCGUCAGUAUUGAAAUUAAGGUGUAAUUAUUCAGCCAAUGAGCCUUACACAUCAAGAUAAAAGUCAAGAUAAUGAAAAUUUGGCUGUUUCCAUUUGAAGUUAAAAGCAACGUUUCUUUCGUUUUGUGGGCGACUCGACUGAGCACGCCCCAAUAGCUAUAUUUAGGGCGUCAAUUUGAUAUUUGAAUGGACAGGCAAGUAAGAAAUACAUUUCCUUCAUAGACAAUGACAACGAGGACAUCAAGCCACAUCAUUAUAGUUUGUAGCCCAUCUACAUUUAAACGAUUAAUAAACAAGCUUAGGUGUGCCACUGCUAUUAUUAAUUAUCCCCUGAUCAUUAUAGUUUCUGAAACAGUAAAACUAAACGAAAUUGAAUACAUCAACGAGACCGCAAUUAUCACUUGUUUAGUUGCGGUAUUUAACUUAAUUUUAAUAUAAUAUAUUUGUUAGUUAAACUUUUAAUAAUCAAAUAAUUUUGAUUUAAAAAUAAAAUUAUAGAAAUUAUUAAUUAUUAAUUAUUAAAAAUUCACAAUUAAGGGAACGUUCAUCAAACACACAUAGCUAUUGUUUUCUCUAUAUAUUGCAGUGUGUACGAUAUUGAGGGUUGAAGCCCCAAGCAUGCUCUAAAAUCCAGAUAAUAAUUAGAUCCGGGCCAAAUAUUCAUCAUUGUGUCAGCUGAUCAGUCGGUGGACAUCUCUAUUGAAAAUAUCUCUGACAUUUCACUCGACAAACUUAUUAAUAUAAAAAAUCUGUGGUUUUGCCGUCUGAAUAAUGUAGAAAAAUUUGUCUAUGCAUUAAUCUAGAUGUUUGAGGUGAUUUAUACAUCUGUGGUAAAGAUUUAUAGGUUGACUUAGACGUCUGUGGUAUAGAUUUUAUGUAUUUCAUUACAAAAUGCUGGCCGUUAGAACCCUUUCUACAUCUAUUUAUAAGAUUAACGGGUGCCAGCUAUGCCAUUACAAAUUAUCCCCUCAUCAGAUAUUUCGUUAAAAUUCAUUCUGAAACACUAAAACUAAAUAAUCGAAUAUGGCUUUGCGGGUCGAUGAUGCCAGCAGCAAUGAGACUGCAAUUAUCACUUGUUUAGUUUCUGUGCUGGCCGUGGUUUACUUCGCAUGGAAUGUGAAAAAAUCAAGGAAAGCAAAUGCUACACUGCCACCAGGACCUCGCGGCUUGCCUGUAUUCGGAUACCUCCCAUUUCUUGGAACUACUGACUUGCACAAGAAAUUCACGGAAUUAUCCGGAGUUUAUGGUCCGAUCUUCAAGCUUUGGCUUGGAAAUAAAUUAUGUGUAGUGGUGAGCUCACCUUCCCUAAUUAGACAAGUGGUUCGUGAUCAAGAUACAACAUUCGCGAACCGUGACCCACCGAAGGCUGCACUAGUGGUCUCCUAUGGUGGCAAUGAUAUUGCAUGGUCCAAUUACGGUCCCGAAUGGAGAAAGUUGCGCAAAUUUUUUGUGGGCAAGAUGAUGAAUAACGCAAGCCUUGAUGCUUGUUAUGCUCUAAGAAGACAAGAGGUUAAAAAUACUAUCAGGGAUUUGUAUAACAACGACAACAAAAUUGGCAAGCCCAUUGACAUUGGUGAAUUGUCGUUUUCAACAUUGGUAUGUGCUAUACAGAACAUGCUGUGGGGUGAAGCGCUUGAAUUAAAAGAGAAAGGGACCACUAAUCUUAGGGCUGGGCUAAAAUUUAAGCUGGCAGAACUCAUGGUGCUUGCGGGAACACCGAAUAUUUCGGAUGUCUUUCCAAUGCUUUCAUGGCUUGACAUACAAGGUAUAGAGAGGAGAGCAAAGAAGAUUUCACUCUGGCUUGAUAAUGUUAUAAAUUCUACUGUUGAACAGCAUAGAAACAAGGAGUUAACUGUUGAAGGUGAAGAAAGAGCGGGGAAAAAUUUUGAAGGAUCAAGGAACAAGAACUUCUUGCAGUUACUAUUGGAGCUUCAAGAAAAUGAUGACAGUGCUUCCUCAAUUAGCAUGAACCAAUUCAAGGCCGUACUCGCGGUAUGUUAAGCAACUAGCCACGAACAGUUAUACAAGCACAAUUGUAUAUUUGCAUGAGUGAUAUUUUCAACCUUUUUUUUUAAUUAGAAUUUUAUUGUCACCUUUUGGACAGGAUAUAAUUACGGCUGGAACCGACACCACAACUACGAUGGUGGAAUGGACAAUGGCAGAGUUGAUGCAGCAUCCACAAGUAAUGAAGAAAGUUCAGGAAGAAUUAGCUCAAGUUGUGGGCAUGGACAGUUGUGUUGAAGAAUUUCACCUGUCUAGAUUAAUGUAUUUAGAUGCUGUGGUGAAGGAAACAUUUCGUCUGCAUCCUGCAGUGCCUUUAUUACUACCACGUAGGGCAAGCGAGAGUGGCAACAUUGGUGGCUAUACCAUUCCCAAAGAUACAACUCUUAUGUUGAAUGUUUGGGCUAUCCACAGGGACCCUCACCUUUGGGAUAAUCCCUUAGAAUUUCGACCCGAGAGGUUUCUGAAUGUUGGUAUCGAGAGUAAGUUCGAUUACUCAGGUAACAAUUUUCAGUACUUGCCAUUUGGUUCUGGUAGAAGGAUGUGUGCUGGGAUUCCUCUAGCUGAGAGGAUGCUGAUGUUUGUUUUGGCUUCGUUAUUGCACUCAUUCGAGUGGGAAUUGCCAACUGGCACAAAGCUAAACUUAUCAGAAAAAUUUGGGAUUGUCAUUAAGAAAAAAGAGCCUUUGGUUGCUAUUCCAACACCAAGACUAUCCAAUUCAGAGCUCUACCAUUAAGACCAAAUGGUUGUGAUGAUUUUGUUAAUUUCCGAAGAUUUGUAUGUUAUUUCAAGUUCAAUCGUAGUAAAAUAUUUCAAAUAAGAGUCCUCCGUUGCUUUUUUUUUUUUUUUUCAACGGCAUAAUCUGUGGUCAUGCUUGUAUUUGGAGCCACUUUAGAAAAAUUAUGUUUGAAUUACAAUUUAUAAAUAUUACAUUUUAAAAUAUUAUGAGGCUAAAUUUAUACACGUUCAAUAACCCGCUUCAUAUAUAUUUAACACAAUUUAUAUCAUACAUUGUACACCCAUUUAUCAUAAAUUACACUAUUUUGUAUCUCUAAAUAAUAUUACGUAUUGAUAUUAUAAAAUAUAUAUGGAAAAGAGAACAAAGAAGAUUUCUUAUGGUUUGAAAAUAUUAUGAAUUCUGCUGUUGAACAGUAUGGAAACAAGGUCUCUGUUGUUAAAGGUGAAGAAGCAACAGGGAACAAUAUUGAAGGAAGAAAUUUCACAUGUUUAGUUGCUGAAUUUGCCGCUGUAUUCUAUCGGUAGUAAAAAAAUUAGAGUUUUUAUUUUUCUCUAUUAAUGUUAAGUCAAUUUUCUAUAACAAAUUCGGUUGAGUUUAAUUGUGUUACAAUAUAAAUUGAAUGAUAAUAGAAUUUUCAACGAAUAUUUCAAUAUUUCUAUCUCGAUUGUUGAAGUGCCAUUUAUUUGUUAUGCGAUCGAUUUUAAAAUUUAUAAAAAUUAUUUGUUACUAAAUUGCAUCAUAUGCUAAAAUCACCUGAAACCUAAUUCCAUAACUAACCCUUUAUUUUUAGUUCUCAAGAAAUCUUGUAAGAACAAAAUUCUUUUAUAACAAAACUUUUACAACACAUUAAUUUGUAACUCAUUCCUGUGCGAGAAUCACUCUCAAAUUCCUUCAAUUGCUGUUGAACAAUCAUCUGCUUAUCAAAAUUCAAGCAUAAUCUUUUCUUUUUUUUAAUUUCUUCAUCAUUCUUUUGAAAAAAAAAAAUCAGGAUAUGCUGUUAAAAUUUUGAAAUAAAUUAUCUCAAAAUAAUUACUAACCAGAAAAAACAAAGGGGUUUAACUAGGUUAUGCAUACCUUUGAAAAUUAUAUGUUGAUCGAUAAGAAUGAUGAUCACGAUUGAGGAGUUUAAUUAAAAUAUAUAAGAUUUUAAAAUUAAUCAGGGUUAAAUUGUGAAUUUUAGAAAGAGAGGUUUUGUGAGAAUGCUGAAAGGGUGUUAAUAGUUCCACUCUUUUUAAAAGCAACCAUAGUCAUCAUUUUUCCCGAUUUCUUCUUCCCAUCUCCAUCUUAUUUAGAAAUUUCCCAGAGCCUUUGUUUCCCACCUUUCAUUGUUCUUCUUUCUAAUUUAAUACUAUAGGAUUACAAAAAUAAUUACUCACAUUUUAUCAAACACCUCCAUUCUACCAAGGCCUUGUUUUAGUAGUAGGCUUUUAUUAUCUCAAUAAAAUUGAAAAAACAAAUCUCAAUAAUAUUGGAAAAAAAAAACCUACCCAUAUUUGUAACUUUAAUUUAUUAUUCUCCAUAGACCUACUUUUUAGCUUUGAAUUUUGUUGGAGCCAUAUAUAAACAGAAUAUGUUGAAUCAGCACCAAAAAAAAAAAAAAAAAACUAAUUAUAUAAUUUCUGUUCCCAAGGACAUGACUGAUUGAUUUUCAAGAAGUUUUGUUUGGCUGGCUACUUAGGUUUAAAUCUUGGUGGAGAUUAGGGGUUAAGAAAUAAAUUUGGACUUUGCACACCCCUUUAACUUUUAAAAAGAAAUGAAAAAAACUAAUUAAUUAAUCUUUAUUUUAUUUAUUAAAUAUCAUAAUCCUAUGCGUAUUUUAUUUGUUAUCUUUCUAUUUAAAAGACAGGAGGGCAGAUAAAACUGAAAUAAAUUUUUAGCCCUAUCUCCAUCUUUCAAGUUCCAUAGUUAGGUGACCAGGUAAAGAAAAUUAAUUGAAAGCUACUCCAUCAAAUUAAAAAAUUUUAUUUAUUUAAUUUGUGGAGAUGUAGAAAAUCAAACCCCAUGCCUUUUCGCGUGGAAAAGUGUCAACCUGGUCUAGCUAUGUUGCAAAAGUGAACAUAUUUUAAUACAUGACUAUCAUCCUUUAUCCUAAAUACUACUAUAACUAAUAACAUACAAUUGAAAUAAUUAAUGUUAACACUUGGCUAUAAAUAAAGGUUUUGUGCUUGAAUCUUCACGCAUGACCUUCAUUCCUUUAUUUACUUUGCUAACACAGAUUUUGAGGCAUUAAAACUAAAUAAUAAUUGACUUUGUGGGCCGAGGAUGCCAGCAACAAGGAGACCACAAUUAUCACUUGUUAAGUUACUCUAAUUGCCGUUGUCUUAUAUUCAUAGAAUAUUAGUAAUAAGAUUAUUGUAGAAUUUUUUUAUAUUAAAAUUAAGUCAAUUUGUUAUAACAAAUUUAGUUGAGUUUAAUCGUGUUACCACAUAAAUUGAAUAAUAAUAAAAUUCUCGACAAAUAUUUCAAUAUUUUUAUCCCAAGCGUUGGAGUGGCAUUUAUUUGUUAUACGAUCAAUUUUAGAAUUUAUAAAAUUAUUCGUUACUGAAUUGCACCAUAUGCUGCAUGACCUGAAACUUAAUAAACGGAACGUAGCGUUGGCACCGUUACUCAACAUACUGUUACGACUUUGUGACAUUAGAAUUAAAAUCUUUUGCACAUUUAAUUUGUUUACUUCCAAAUUAAUAUUUAACAAAAUAUUUUUUCACAUUAUCAAUGGACAAAACUCCAACGAAAAUAACUACACAAGAAAAAUGUAUGCUAGUAUUGUGUGCCAUAUCAUCUGUAAUUUUGUCAGGAUCGAUCAUUCUAAUUUUUAAGCAGAACUUUUUAUCAAUGGACAAACACCUCACACAGCUUGUCAGAGGCAUUAUUAUGAUGGAAAACUGUAAUGGUAUAUCUUGAAUUAUUGGUAGAAUAGUUCUUUGGAGCAAUAAAAACAGAUAAGACAGAUGAGAAAAUUGUCAAUACCCCACCGCAAAAGCAAAAGAAAAAAAGGAAAGGAGACAAAAGAGGAAGAAGAAAAAGAAAAAAGAACGAAGAAAAAAAUGGUGCCGCGCGGUAUAGGCAAGAAGAAAAAAUAAUAAUAAAAUAAUAAAAUAAUAGUGCACAACAGUCAUUUGAUUGCUAUAAAUAAAGGGGCAUUUCCCUCAUUUUAUUCAUCGAAUUCUUCAGUUCCUAAGCGAUUUAAGAGUCUAGUGAUUUGAGAGUUUGGGUAUAGUAUAGUUUUGAGUAGUGAGUUAAAAUAUUACAAUACUUAUAACUUAUUUUUACUAAUAAAAUAUUUUUCUUCUAUCUUCACCCGUGGACGUAGGGUCAAAGCCGAAUCACAUAAUUUUUAGUAUCCCUAUGUGAUUAUGUAUCUCAUUAUUUUUCAAUUUUACUUUAGUUACGUGUCUGCUACAUCCUUCAAUUUACUAACAAAAAUGGCCAAAAUUAUAUAAGUGACCCAAAUUUUUUUGCUAUUUCCAAGAAAUCUCCAAUCUGAAUGGGCCAGACCAGAGGGAGGCAAGUUAGAAAUACGUUUCCUUCAUAGACAAUAACAGCGAUGAGUCGAUGACAUCGAGCCACGUCGGUAUCAAUAUUGAAUUAAAGGUGCAAUUAUUCAGCCAAUGAGCCUUACACAUCAAGAUAAAAGUCAAGAAAAUGAAUAUUUAUCCUAAUUAAAACACUUUCUGGCUGCAUUUAGUUGUUUCCAUUUGAAGUUAAAAGCAACGUUUCUUUCGUUUUGUGGGCAACUCGACUCAGUUAGCUGGCUUCUAGUGCUAGUAAGUGAAAAUAGAAGGCUAAUGAUUUAUUUGUUAUCUUUUGAUAAAAUUAUUAAAGAUAUAAUAGAUUUUUCAUGAUACAAAUAAAAAAUCACAUCAACAUAGCUUCCAAAGUACAACAGCUAAUGUUUACCAAACACUUUGUUGUAGCUUUUAAGCUACAGCUGCCCAACUUUAAUUUCAAAUGCACCCUUAAUAGGUUGAUUGAAUUUGUGGGAUAUAGAUUCCACAUAUCGUAUGACCUAGUAACUAUACAAGUGGUUCGUGAUCAAGACACAACAUUUGCUUCCGGCCCGGUGACCCAGCAAUCGCUGCAUUGGUCGCCACCUAUGGUGCCAACGAUAUUGCAUGGUCCAAUUGUGGCCUUGAAUGGAAAAAGUUGAGCAAAUUAUUUGUGGACACGAUGAUAAGUAACGCAAGCCUUGAUGCUAGUUAUGGUCCAAGAAAACAAGAGAUAUGCAUAACAACAAAAAGGAAAAAAAAAAAAAAAAAAAAAAAGGCAUUUGCAAGCCCAUUGAUAUUGGUGAAUUGUCGAUUUCAACUUUGGCAUGUGUAAUCCAGAGCCUGCGCGCUGUGGUGUGGCGCUGGCACGCUUGCAUUGACGAGGGGACAAGUCUUGGGGCUGAGCUAACAUUUAAGCUCGCAGAACUCAUGGUGCUAAUGGGAACACCAAAUAUUUUUUGACAUAUUUUGGUGCUUUCAUGGUUUAAUUCAAGGUAUAGAAAGGAGUGUUGAGAAUGUCAAAUAAAACGGUAUUGAAUGGAAGUUGUUAAAGACACGAUCCGCACCGAACGACAACAGCACGGUUGCUAAAAAUCCUUCCGUAAUAGGCAUAUCUAAUUUUUGAAAAAGUGUAACCUCUACAUUUAUAAAUAUACUCAAUGUAUAAUGUUUUACUUAAGAAAUGAAAAACUUGUUUGUUCAAGGAGAAUAAAGAAAAAUUUUCUAUGAUUUUUCUAUGGUUUGAACAAAGAAGGUUUUAACGAGUAUUAUAGACCUCGAUUGAAUGUUCGAAUGUAUAAUAAAAGAGAAACUGUCACAUAAAUGACAAAGAUACUUGAAAAAAAAAAAAAAGGGCAGCAAUAGAGAAUUAGAUCCGACUGUACAAAUAACUAGUUAAUUCAUCGAUACAUCAUUUUCUUGCUAGAAAAUGACAAUUAUGACAGCAAGCCACGAUAGUGUCAAUAUUGAAAUUGAUUUGCAAUUAUUCAGCCUAUGAGCCUUACACGUCAAGAUAAAAGUCAAGAAAAUGAAAGUUAAUAUCAAUUAAAACACUUCCAUUUCUAUGUGAAGUUAAAAAACAACGUUUCUUUUGUUUUGUGGGGGAUUCAACUGAGCACGCGCCACUAGCUAGCUGGCUUCUAGUUCUAGCAUAUGAAAACAGAAUUCUAAAGAUUUCACUUUCACCUUUUUUCUUUUUUUGGGGUUUUGAAUCAAAGUCAAGGUCGCACUGAAUAAUAUGUAAAAUUUGAAAAAGAAGAAUUAAUAGAGAACAAAGUUUUGUUUUAAAUUCACAUGGUGUGCAUACAAUUCAACAAACACUUCCUAUAAUAAAUCUGGAGUUGUAUCCCACGUUGAACAAUAAAGGAAAGUCACCUAAAUAUACAUGUAGGAUAAGUUACUUUAUUUAGUAAGUUUGUAUUUUCUUCUUUCUUCUAGUUUACAUAUAAAUUUGAUUAGAUAACUUAACACAUAUUUUAAUACUUGAUCAGAAGCCCGACGUACAGGUGGAUCUAGAAACUUGAUUUCUAAGAGUAAUACUAUAAUAAAAAAAUAAUGAUUCAUAGAACCAAUAUCAAAAUUUGUUUACAAGAUUGCCCCCACUCAAAGGUAAUUUUCAUAGAAAUUAAUAGGAAAUUUAAUUGUUAGUGGGGUCAAAUUGCCCCCACACUCUGAAUGUAGAUCCACGCCCGACCCUGAGUCAAGUAUAUUUUGCCACAUAUACUCUGAAUGUCGGCAGGAAAAAUCUUCCACUUUAGUUAAAAAUUUUCACUUAAAAAAUAUUUAUGUUAAUAAAGUUCGUAAAGGAAAUGAGUUUAAUUAAUGAAUAUUAUAGGAGAAAUUAAAGGAAAUGAGUUUAAUUAAAGAAUAUUAUAGGAGAAAUUCUAUUGUUCGGCUUUUAAUAAAUUAAUUAAUAGGUUUAAAAGAUUAAUAUACAUCAAAAUAUUAUUAGUUGGUGGGGGUUCCACAUCGGACUAAUACGUGUCACCUUACUUGUGAGAUUAAGACAAUCGACUUAGACUAUUUAAAUAUGUUUGAAGCUUAGAUGGCACCGCUUCAAUUUGCAUUACUGAAUGUCAUUCUUUAUCCUAAUUACUACCGUAAUUGAUAACAUGCAAUUGAAGUAACUAAUAUUAGCACUUGGCUAUAAAUGAACUAAAGGCCGUGCAAUUGAAUCUUUACUUGAUCACUUCACUCCUUUAUUUUGCUAACACAGAUUUUGAGAUAUUAAAACGAAAUAAUAAUUGAAUCUGGCUUUGUGGGUCGAUGAUGCUAGCAAAAACGAGACCACAAUUAUCACUUGUUUAUUUGCUGUAUUUGACGUUGUUUCAUAUUGGUAGUAAUAGGGUCAGUUUUUAAUCUUUUUAUAUUAAAGUUAAGUCAAUUUGUUAUCAAAAAAAAAAAUUGGUUGAGUUUAAUUAUAUUGCUAUGUACAUUAAAUAAUUAUAAUAUUCUUGAGGGAAAAAGACACCUAGAACCUCAAGGUUUGGGGAAAUGGUCACAAAGACUCCUAAGUUUUAAAAAAGGAACACUAAGAUCUUUUUUUACCCAUAAUACCCUUUGACUAGAGUAAUUAAAAAAUUGACUUUAAAGGUUUUUAAAUAAUUCUAAUUUAAUAUAAAUCAUAUAAUCUAUCUAGUAAACUAAUAAUAUUAAAUUAUUUUUUAUAUUUAAAAUAAUGUUAAAUUUUAAAUUAUUAUAUUUAUAAAAUUAUAAAGAUUUUAAAUAAAUAUUUGGAUUGAAUAUAUUUUACAAUUAAAAGUCUUCCUAUUAAUAAUAUUAAAAUUUAAUUUUACAAAAUAUAUAUUCAAAAUAUUUUUAAUUUUAAUUUAUUUAUUUUAAUAUUAUGUUUCUACCUAUUAUUAAAAAUUACUUUAAUAUAAUAAAAUAGGUCUAAUAGAUUGAAAAAUAUGAAAAUAUUUUUAAAAUUUUAAAUUAUUUUGAAAUGUAUAUAUUAUUACAUUUAUUUCAAUGUCAUAUUUUCAUUUAUUAUAAAAUUUUGGGGUUAUUUUUUUGGGAAUUUAUAGAGUCAAAGAGCAUUAUAAUUUAAUCCAUGCACAAUAUCUAUAAUUAUAUCGGUUGUCGGCUGAUUUCGUGGAGGGGGCGGCAGUUCAAAAUUUUUACGUGCAUGUUGGAUGGACGUCUCUAUUAAAGGAGAGCCACCACUUGCAUGGUAAUUUUUUUAAAUAAAUAUAUACAUUUCAAAACAUUAUUUUCUUGUUGUAUAGUUAACAUGUCACCUUAGAUGUAUUUUAGAGCUUCUCCUAUUAAAGAUAAUCUCAUGCAGUGUUACAGAGUAUGGUAAUAUGGUAUAGAUGAGAGCAUCUGAUUAAAUGAAGCAGCUGGUAAUGCUUACGUGUGUGAGUUAGUUAUCCAGCUCAGCAGCAAAGCAAACGAAAUGAAUUGCAUGCAUAUUAGAUCCAACAAACUGGUAAACUCUAGAUUCUUCUUUCAUUUAGUAUAAAUACCAAGUUGUUAUCAUUUGCUAAAUAUAUAAUAAGAUGAUCAUUUUCAGAUCUUUCCUUUAUAAUUUUCUAUAACUUUCUCGUUAGUUUCUCUUGAACCAAACACUUUGUACGAACUCUUUCGUGCAGUGAUACUUCUCGUGAUCUAAUCAUUAGUAGAAUCUAUAAUUUCGCUACUGUAAUAAAAUCUGUCACUACCCUAUAUGAAUGUAGAUAUUUGACGCGAUUUGUAAUUGCUUCCGACAGGAAAACAGCAAUAGUUUUAUUGAAAUUUGUGGUAUAGAUUCCACGAAUCUUAUGACAGAAUACUGACCACUCCAACCCUAUCCGCAUUUACACGAUUAAUACACAAGCUUAGAUGUGACAAUGCAUUUGUCACUCAUUCAAAUUCAUCCUGAAACACUAUACACUAAAUAAUCGAAUAUGGCUUCGUGGGUCGAUGAUGCUAGCAGCAACGAGACUGCAAUUAUCACUUGUUUUGUUGCUGUACUUGUCGUGGUCUAUUUCGCAUGGAAUGUAAACAAAUCAAGUAAAGCAAAUGCUAAAUUGCCACCAGGACCUCGGGGCUUGCCAGUAGUCCGAUACCUCCCAUUUCUUGGAACUACUGACUUACACAAGACAUUCACGGAGUUAUCUGGAGUUUAUGGUCCGAUCUUCAAGAUUUGGCUUGGGAAUAAAUUGUGUGUAGUGGUGACCUCGCCUACCCUAGUUAAACAAGUGGUCCGUGAUCAAGAUAUAACAUUCUCAAACCGCGACCCACCGAUCGCUGGAACUGUGACCACCUACGGUGGCAAUGAUAUUGCACUUUCCAAUUACGGUCCCGAAUGGAAAAAGUUGCGAAAAUUAUUUGUGAGCAAGAUGAUGAGUAAUGAGACCCUUGAUGCUUGUUAUGCUCUAAGAAAACAAGAGGUUAAAAAUACUAUCAGGGAUUUGUAUAACAACAAUAAGGAUAAUAUUGGCAAUGGCAAUGGCAAGCCCAUUGACGUUGGUGAAUUGUCGAUUUCAACUUUGGUACGUGUUAUGCAGAACAUGCUGUGGGGUCAAGCAUUGGAAACAAGAGAGAAAGAGAUUACUAAUCUCGGGGCUAAUCUUGCAGAACUCAUGGUGCUACUGGGAACACCAAAUAUUUCGGAUAUUUUUCCAGUGCUUUCAUGGCUUGACAUGCAAGGUAUAGAGAGAAGAGCUAAGAAGAUUUCUCUAUGGUUUGAAAAUAUUAUCAAUUCUGGUGUUGAACAGUAUAGAAACAAGUUCUCUGUUGUUAAAGGUGAAGAAGCUGCAGCACGAAAAAAUAUUGAACGAUCAAGAAAUAAGGACUUCUUGCAGUUGCUGUUGGAGCUUCAGGAAAAUGAAGAUAGUGCUUCAUCUAUUAGCAUGAACCAACUAAAGGCCGUGCUCGUGGUAUGUUAAGCAACUAGACACAAAAAGUUGUAAAAGCACAGCGAUAUAUUUGCGCGAGGCCCCGAGUGAUGUUUUGCCUCGAGAACUCUCAAUUUUAUCUUACGGUAAAAAAUGUUUUUCAACUUUUUUUUUUAAUUAGAAUUUUAUUGCAAUUUAUUUAACAGGACAUAAUUGUGGCCGGAACCGACACCACAACUACGAUGGUGGAAUGGACAAUGGCAGAGUUGAUGCAACAUCCACAAGUAAUGAAGAAAGUUCAAGAAGAAUUCGCUCAAGCUGUGGGCAUGGACAGUUGUGUUGAAGAAUAUCACUUGCCUAAAUUAAAGUAUUUAGAUGCUGUGGUGAAAGAAACAUUUCGUUUGCAUCCUGCGUUGCCCUUAUUGGUACCUCGCACGGCAAGCAAGAAUAGCAACAUUGGUGGCUAUACCAUUCCCAACGACACUAAUCUUAUGUUGAAUGUUUGGGCUAUCCACAGGGACCCUCAACUUUGGGAUAAUCCCUUAGAAUUUCGACCUGAGAGGUUCUUGAAUGAUGGUAUCAUAAGCAAUUUCAAUUACUCGGGUAACAAUUUUCAGUACUUGCCAUUUGGUUCUGGUAGAAGGAUGUGCGCUGGGAUUGCUCUAGCUGAGAGGAUGUUGAUGCUUGUUCUGGCUUCGUUGUUGCACUUGUUUGAGUGGAAAUUGCCCUCGGGCACAAAGCUAGACUUAUCUGAAAAGUAUGGGAUUGUCAUGCGGAAAAAAGAGCCUCUAAUUGCUAUUCCAACACCAAGGCUACCAAAUUCAGAUCUCUACCAGUAAGAUCAAAAUGGUUUUGAUAAUAUUAUUUCCCAUUGUAUUGGAUUUGAAGUUCAAUCAUAAUAAAAUAUUUUAAUAAAAUGUCCUCGGUUGCUAAUUUUUCAAUAGUAUAAUCUGCACCUGUCUUUUAUAGCAAUUUGGUCUAAUUUAUUUUUGAAUUAAAAUCCAUAAAUAUUUAUAUUUUUUUAAUUAUAUUAGGAAUUAUGUGGGGUGUAUGGUCUGAUCUUCGAGCUAUGCCUUGAAAACAAAUUAUGCAUAGUCGUGCACACGCUUUCCCUAAUUAAGUUUGUGGUUCGUGCUCAAGGCACAGCAUUCACCCCCCGCGACCCAACAAUCGCUACAUUGUUCCCCACCUAAAGUGCCAACAUAUUGCAUAAGUAACGCAAAAUAUGGUCCCCAAUGGAAAACGUUGCGCAAAUUAUUUCUGGGCAAGAUGAUAAGUAACGCAAGCCUUGAUGCUUGUUAUGGUCUAAGAAAACAAGAGGUUAAAAAUACUAUCAGAGACAUAUAUAAAACAACAACAGAAAAAAUUGGCAUUAUCAUCGAUAAUGGUGAGUUGUGGAUUUCAACUUUGGUAUGUUUAAUUCAGAACCCGCAGUGGGGUGGCGCUAGCACGCCUGCGUUAGGAGACGAGGGGACCAAUCUUGGGGCCGAGCUAAAAUAUAGGCUUGUAGAGCUC
rnacentral:lncRNA from 1 species